GGUGGGAACGAGUUAGAAUAUUUCAAUUGCUAUUGAUGCGUGGCUUCCUAGUACUGAAAGUUAUAAGUGUAUAGGCCCAAAUUUGCCUGGGCCCACACCUAAAAUCAAAACAAAAAAUAAUAAUAAAAAUAAAAUCAUAAACCAAAUAAAUUAAAUGUCCAAGUCCAUUUACAACUCAACCCUAACUAUUAAAACCAAACCACUCAGCCCAACUACUAAAACAAACCUAAUUAACAAACAACCCAAACCCCAUACCCGAAUAAAACAAAAUAGGCCCAAUGGCCCAAAACACUAAUGAAUUUUUUCGGCAGAAACCCUAGGUCACUAGAAGCUUCAGCCGCCGCAGCCUCCAAUCGAUUCUUCCACGCGCGCCAUGCUUCACGCCCACGAAUAACUCCUCCACGCCAUGCACACCUGCAACAGAAAACAACGAAGCAGCAAUUGAUAGCAGAUCACAGCGAAUUACAGCAAAGAAUUUGUAUUUUCUUUUAUUUAUUUAUUUUAUUUUUCGGCUAUAAACCGAAGGAAAAUGAUGUAAAUGGGAUAUUUUUUUUCCUUUCUUUCUACGAAGAGAAUAAUAGUUGAAUAUACGCAUAUAUGAAAAGAGGAGAAAUCAAUUCAAAGAGAGUUUUCAAGAGGUGAUUUUAGAGUUUAUUUUUUCUUUCGAUUUUGUUUUUUUUUCCCUUUGAUUUUCAUUAUCGUGUGUAAUAUACAAAAUAAACAAGGGCAUAAGCACUUAUCUAAUAGAAGGAGCCUUCGAAUCCUUGUUGACUUCGUUGAAAUCGAAGCUUUGAUGGGGAUUCAGGGGGGUCCGAUUUGUUGACAUGGAAGCAAGGAGAGAAGAACUUCUUGGUUCGCUCGGUUGAGGAGGAAAAGAGAUUGAAAAAUUUUGAGAGAAAAUGGUUUUGAAAGCUGUUUUGAGAAGAAUAAUCAGUCUGAGGUUAUUAGGGCUUUUGUUUUGAUUCAUAUAUAUGCUCAAAAACGGCACCGUUUAGUAAAAACAUGGAUCUGCGCCUUAACCCAUUUGGAAGCCGAAUCUGCGCCUUUUUCACCUUGAAAGGUUAAUUUGCGCGUCUGGUCCUUUGACUUUGCGCAGAAUUUUUAAUUGAUCUUUAUUUACAUUUUAUUUUAUUUUGAAUUUGUCCUAGAAUUUGUGUCUUUGCGUUUCGGUCUGCGCCUAGGCACAGUGUUUGGAAAACUGGGAUAUUUUCAUAUCUAAUCCCUAUACAUUUGCACCCGUUGCACGCUGGUCCUUAUUUCUAUUUCAAUAGUUUUUUAUAUUUAUUAAUUAUCCCUUCUAAUUUGAUUUCAUUUCAAUUAAGUUUUACUUCAAUUUAUAUAUCUCAUUAUUUUUAAAAAAAAAAUCCUUUUAGCAUUCAUCUUUUAUUUUUUUAUUUUUUUAUAUACAUUUUGAAUUACCUUGAUAAGUUUACUUUGUUUUUUUCAAAAUUAUUAUUUUUAAAUUCCUUUUUAUAUCAUAUUAUUUUAACAUUUUAGAUAAUAUUUUUUUUAUAAAUGUUUUUGUACAUUAUUGUAUAUAUAAAUAAUUCAUGAUAAGGUUAAUUUUAUUCCAUGUAUAUUAUUAAUCUUAUAUUAUUUUAUACAUAUAAUUUCUUUUAAAUUUAUUCCUAUAUUUUAUUAUAUAUCUUUGCUAUUUAAAGGAAGAUCCUACAUCUCAAAUGUAUUAUUUAAAUUAUUAUUAUAUAUAUAUACAUGUAUAUUGGUACAUAUGUUUGAUUUAUAUACAUCAUUAAAUCCAUGUUAUUUUAUUCAUAUAAUUUCUUUUAAAUUUAUUUGUAUACAUCAUUAUGUUUUUAAAAUCUAUUACAUAUACAAUCUAUGAUAACAUUAAUUUAAUUUUAUAUAUAUUAUUAAUCUCAUGCUAAUUUUUACAAAUAAUUAUUCUUAAUAUAUAUGCAUGUUUUGUGAAUUUGUUAUGUGUAUUAUAUCUUAUAAUGUAUUUUUAUUAUUCUUUCAUAGCUUAUAUAUUAUUUAAGAAUCAUGUACAUUGUCAAAUUUUUAAAUGAAUUUAUGUUUAAAAUAUUUUGUAUAUAAUUUGCUUCAAACUUUUAUUCUAUAAUAUUUAUUUCAAUAAUUAUAUAUCCCUAGUUUUUAUACAAGCUUGUCAACUUAUAUUAUGUGUUCAUUAAUUUAUCAUUAUUUUGAAAAUGUCUUACACCACAUUGACUUCUAAAUUCCAUUUUAUUUUGUACAUGUUUUGGGGAUUAUUUUAUAUUGUGCCAUAUUUAUUUUUUAUGUAUAUCAUUUAGUCAUUGUUUUGUUCAUUAUAUUAAUUGUGCUCCAUCCAUGAUUAAGAAUUUGGUUACAUUUACUUAGAAUAGUUGUACAUAAUUGUUGGAUUUAUUAAUUGUGGUUUAUUGUACUAUAUGUACAUAUUGUUUCAUGUUCAUUAAUCCUUUUCUAUACAAAUGUUUCAUUACAAUGCAUUAAGUAUUCCAUCUAUUUUAAAACAAAUAAAUGCGUUUUGAGCGAAAUUCCAAUUUUCCUUAUUAUUCAAAAAUUCUAAAAUAAGGCAAUAUCCAAUAUUUGAGAAUUCCAGAAAUCGUGCCCUACCGUGCUGGGUAUGAUUUUUUUGGUGAACUAAAUAUUUGGAUAUCAUUUUAUAAUUUUAGGGUACAAGUUUUUGAAAGUCAAAAAUCAAUCGUAUCUUUGAAGAUAUAAAGGAUCGUAUCCAAUCGUGCUGGGUAUAAUGCUGCAUAUUUUUGAAACGAGAGAAUUUUGACAGUUAAAUUGAACUAUUAAUCAUUUUAAAGAACUAUGCUUUGAACGAUAUUUUUUUAAAAUCUUUGAUAUAAAGAUAGCAUCGAAUCAAUUUGGUACCAAUUUUUAGACGUAAUGAAGAUGCUCACAUUUUCUCAUACGUAACCGACUCCCAAACUCAUUGUUUUAAAAAAUUUUACAAAAUUAUUUUAAAUAGAAUAAAAAAUUUUAGUAGAUGACCUACUCCCACCUAAGCAAAGAGAUUGGUGGCUACUCCAAUGGUUUCGACAAUAAGGUAGAAUCAAUUAGGAAUUCCAGUGAACUAAGUAAAGUGGCAGAGCUUAUUAAUGAACAAAAGAUAGAAUGGAGGUCUGAUUUAAUUUAUUCUACCUUCUCUAGAGAAGAAAUAAUUAGAAUUGUACGAAUUCCCUUAGCAAUGGAACCUCAUGCGGACUUCAUGGUAUGGAAGGGGGAGGCCCAGAGAGAAAUCUCGGUGAGAAGUGCUUGUAAACUAUUACAUGGCUUUAUUCUUAAUUAUUUACAGACUGAGGCUAAGUUAUUUUACAAAAAAAUUAUUGAAUAUUCACAUUUCAGUGAAAAUUAAAAUCCUAAUCUAGAAAAUUUCUUGGAAUUUUAUUCCCCAUUUUGUUAAUCUUCGGUGCAAGAGAUUGCUCUCAGAGGUAGUCUAUCCCAGAUGUGGGGUAGCUGAUGAAAACAUUGACCAUAUCUUCAGAGAAUGCCCUGUGGCACGAGAAGUUUGGAUUAGCUUGAAUUUGGAAUGGGUAUUAACAAAUUUAUUUUUAUCACACUGGGAGUGGUUUACCUGGGUGUUCAAGAACAGUUCCAGCAUUCAAUGUCGAGUAUUUUGUUGCUCUUUGUGGGCGAUCUGGACGGCCAGAAACAAAGCAUUACAUGAGGGAAAGAAAAGUACAGGUCCAGAAAUUGUUGCAUGUAUAAACAAAUAUAUUAAGGAACUAGAAGGGUGUGAGAUUCAGGAUUUUACCACGAGGCAUGAGUCUAUAGGUUGGUGCCCACCAAUUGAUUCCAUUGUCAAAUUGAAUUUCAAUGCCGCUUUUGAUGACUCUCAGGCAAAAUUAGUCUCAUGGGUGGUGGCUAGAAAUGCUUCGGGAGAGGUCCUCACCUUCAAAACAGAGGUCCACGGGGAGGUGGCCUCUUCAUUUGCAGAAGAGGCCCUUGCGUGCCUUCAAGCAAUGUUUUAGGGAAAACAGAUGGGGUUCAUAUCAGUUAUCAUCGAAUGAGUUUUAGUAUCAGUAAUAAAAAAAAGUAACUCAGAGAAUACUAAUAAAUAGGUGAUUGGGGGUAAAAUAAGGAACAUUCAGCAGCAAAAGCAAUUUUUUCACCAAAUAACCUUUCAACAUACAAACAGAUUUGCAAAUAUUAUGGCUCACAACUUAGCUAGAGAAGCGAUGAAAGAAGAGUCGCGAACUUACCUGGUCGGAAAGGUCCUUGAGCCAAAAUCAUUGGAGAUGGAUCCACGGAGAAGAAAUGAACCUGAUUGAUGGUUGUUUGAUAGAGGGUCUCUGCGUGGAAAGUAAAAAGGAAAGUGGAAAUUAACGGGUUUUGGAAACCGCUUUUCUGGGGAUUAGAAUUGAUGCAUUAAAUGCGAAAUGCUAAUUAGAUUCCAACUGUUAUCAGACUGGAUGUUUUAUUUAAUUUCUGUUUAGUUUUUUCAUCUAUUUCUUUAGGAAUCAUUUAAGUUUUUGCCAUAGUUGGGUUUUGUUUUUUGGUGGGCUUGUGGAUUUUGAUAGCCCAUUUGUAUCUUUUCUCAAAAAAAAAAAAAAAAUUCCCCUUAAGAGUUACUUUAUCAUGAACAUGCCAAAGUGAUUUCCUUAAUAAAAUGUGAGAAAAUUAAAAAUAAUAUUAAGACAAGAUUAACUAUAUUUUAUAUUAGUUUAGGGUAUUAGUCUAUUAAUAAAAUGUAAAAAAAAAAGUUAUUGCCUUCUUCCUUUGUCAUACUAAAUUUUCUCUAUUAUUUAAAUAGAUUAUUCGCAAGUAUUGUAUAUACAUUUUUUUUAUUUAUUCCGAAACAAGUUUUAUAUAUACAUGAUUUUAUAUGUGCAUUAUUAUAUUUAUAAAAUAUAUGUACGACAAAUUUGAAACAAGUUUACAUUCAAUUAACAUUAUAAAUUAAAAAAAUUUAAAAUAUCAAUUAAAAUUUAUUAUUGAAUAUUUAAUCUAAAUAUUUAUUAAGAGUAAAGUUUAUUAUAAAAAUUAAAUACAUGAAUAUUAUCUUUUAUUUAAUAAUGAUAAAUUCAUAAAUCAUUAUUACAUUUUUAAAAAAUUACUCAGUGAAUAAAAAAUAAUAAUGUAACUUUCUUGAUAUUUUAAUAAAUAUUAAAUGUUAUAAAAUAACUUUCCAAGAAAUUAGAUUGCAUUGGAAGCACCAAAUGCUAUCUAACUUUCCUUAUUCUAGUCUCCGAUUGUGAAAGUAACUCUCAUGCAUAGCUAUUUAAGGAUGUUGUUUUAAUUAAUUAAUUUAUUUAUUUUUAUUUUAAAUGAAAUUAUUAUAUGUUUUAAUGAUAUUUCAUUGAAAUUUUUUAAGGUUGCAUGCGUACUUAACUAAGGACAUAAUGAUGUUUCAUUAUUUAAUUGAUUAAAUGUCUUCACUUCUAUUUUUUUAUCAUUAAAUUUUGUUUUUAAUUUUUUUUAUUUCCUAAAAUUUUCAUUAAAGUAAGCUAGUGAUUAAUUAGGAUUAUAAAAUUUAUAUUAUUUUUAUUUAAAUGGAAAAAUAAUUUGAAUAUAAUUAGGAUAUUAAAUUAUGAAUUUCAUGCUUCCUGAUAUAAAAUUUUGAAUUCCAUUAAAUGUUAAUGCUUAUUUUCUUGAGUCCUGAGUUUGAUUCUUCUCUUAUUUACAUUUGUAUUUUUUAUUUCAUGUUAUUUUAAGUUUUUUAUUUUUAAUUUGUGUUUAUAAUUAAUAAAUAUAUUAUUUUCAAGUUUUUUUUAUUUUUAAUUCAUCUAUGUUUUAUUUAUAAAAUCAAAUAAUAAAUAUGUAAUUAUUUUUUAAAAACAUUAACUAUUUCUUUAGAUAUAUUUUUCUUUAUAUAUAAUAUUUAUAUGUCAAUUUUUUUUAUAUUCCGACUAAUAAACUCCAAGCUCCAAACAACGAUUCGAUGAUUGAUACGGUGAAUUAGUACCAUCGACGAGUAUAACAUACUUUAGAUCCAAGUUGAUUUGAUGGCCAGUGUUGAAGAUUAAAGAAGAAAGCUUUUGGAUUUUGGUUUGAAUAUUUGUAACGUUCAAAGUUAAUUUAUGGGAAAAAAAAACUAAAUUGUAGAGGAGACCUUUCGAUUGGUAUAGACAGUAUAGGCAAAGAAGGCCAUACAACAACGAUUUUAACAGCAUAGUUACUUAAAUGAAAAUUUUUGAAUUUAUUUAACUCGGACUUAAAAUUAAAGGCGAAGGUAGAAAAUUUUUUGGAGGGUCGAAAUUAAAUUGUAUUUUUUGUUAAUCGUAAAAAUGGAAUUUCACCAUUUUAAUAGCCUAUAUCUUUAUAAUUUUUAAAGGAUUAGAUCAAAUUUUUAUCGUUUUUGGGAGGACCAAAGUGUAAUUUUACCUUUAUUAAUUUAAAAUUUUAUAAAUUUUCCAUUUUAAAGGGAUCAGAACUUGCUCAAAAUAAUUCAAAUUUGAAAAGAUCGAAAUUCAUAAUGAUCCAAUAAAAACUUGAAAUAAUCUAAAUCCAAACUCAAAAAUUUAAAAUAACUCAAAUUUGGAAAUGAUAAAUUAAAAAAAUUAAAAGUAUUGAUACAAUAAUUUUUUUUAUACAAGUGAAUAAUUGAGGAAGGAGAUCGAAUCAUAAACUUCAAAUCAAUCAAAUUAAAAUCCUAACGAGUUAUGGGAGAUCAAACUGAAAAAUUGGUAAGAUUCAAAGGCAUGUUUAAAAUUUAAGGCUUAUUAAUAUUUUUUUUCAAAAUAUUUUAAACCUGAGAGUUAAUAAACCUUGGUCCAAGUGCUGUCAAACUUGGCAAACUUAAUUUUUACAAACCUAGCUCUAAUACUAUCAAAUGUAGCGUCUCAACCUGAAUCCAGAACGUCACAUCUCUUCGUUGAUCAUCAAAACAUACCACAGAAGCCACCAUUCAGACUGUAUAGGUACACGCUUAAUUACCAAUAAAUAAAUGAAAUUAAACACGCAAGCCUUAAAAUCAUGCUCUUCUAACAAAAUCAUUAAAAUGACAUUCAAGGGUAAAAAUGUCUUUUUACAUACAAUAAACGAAACAUUCAUAAAACCACAAAUUUAAACAUGCAUACAUGUUAUGGCAUAUUAUUUCAAAUAUUAAUUGGAAGAAAAUACUAGAACCGGUAAGUAAAACUCAUUUAAUUUUAAAAAUAAAGGUUAAGGACUAAAUCAUAAUUUUGGAAAAUUUUCCAAAAAAUAUAUUUUUAUAAUAUUGAAAGUAAAAUUAUAAAACUAAUCUUAUAAAACUUGGUCGUGCAAAUUUUCUAAACAUUGUAUUAUUUUUAAGGGAUUUGAUUACUUAGUAUAAAAAUCAGGACUAAAUUGCCAUAACCAUAAAACAUGCCAAAUUUCUUUAAUCUAACAUAUUAUAUAGCAUACAUAAAACACACAAACAUGUUUACAGUCAUUAAAACAUACAACAAUACAAUUCAAAACUUCAUCCAAUUAUCUAUACUACCAUGCAUUUACAAGUCCACAACCAAUUUAGCAUACAUACCAUCCAUUAACAUGCAUACUCGUUCAAGCAUUUCAAGUAACAUUCUAAAACAAUCCAAAGUCCUAAAAAUCAAUUAAACAGAUCAUAAUGUCUUAUUACAAUCCAAACAAAACAAAGUCUAAUUCCCUCUAUGGAUAAGUCCAACAUAGCCUUUAUUAUUUGCAAAUUCAAACCAAGUCACCUACUUAAAAAAUUGCCUUGCUUUGAAUCACCACUUGCAUACUACCCCCUCCUCACACAAGCUAUUUUUCUGCAAAAUAAACAUAAGAAAGUGUAAGCUUUUUCAAAUUCAGAGAGUGCUCAUGGUUUGCAACCAUUAGGCAUAAAAUACAUAGUUGAAGAGAGCACACUAAGUCAAGAAAUCAUGGUAUAGCAUCAAAGAUAUCUCAUUACACUCAUAACGAUAUAUUGGCAUAAUGUGACAAGGAACAUAUAUAUAAUCAGUAAUGCAUUGGAUAAGCAGAUCCCCAAACACUCCAUAUGACUCAAAGAGUCAUACACUAUCUCCAUAUAAGUGUAGCAUGAAUGCUAACACUCUCCAAACACUCCACUCUAUCUUUAAUGAAUGGAGCUAUGCUCUACUUUCCCUUAUCCCUCGAUCGUUAUCUUCGGGACAUAAUGCCUCAUCAUAAACAAUAAAGGUGAGUACUCACUAUCUUAUGGCAUGUAAAUGAUAUCUAAAACUUCCAAGUGUUCAAAAUGCCAACAUAUCCACUUAAAUACACAUUUACAUAUUGUUUUAUACACAUAUUCACUUGUUAAUAACACUUUCACAAUUCAUUAUAUGCACUCUCAAGUGCUAACACAUUUGCUCAAAAGAGCCAUAGUUACUUUAAAACAUAAUAGUGUGCAAGAUUUAGCAGUUCACUUAACAAACAUUGCCAAAUUCACUUAUCACUUGCUUAAAUAUUUCAUGUGAUUUUUUACGACCUCACAUACAAGCAUCAUAUGUAAUAGGAUAUAGUUUAGGGUUCUCUCAGACUUAAAUUAGGUGUUUAGAACAACCUAAGCUCCCUUCAACCUUAGGAAUCAUGCUUGAAAGCUACAAUUCCAACGGCUUACCUAGUCAACACCUUUUGCACAAUGAUCUCAAAUGAGCUUUUCUUUCUCUUUCACCUUGCUCGUAGAAGUUCCCGACGAGUCUGGCACUUUGCAUACAAAUUAAAUACAUCAAAAACACAUUAUUAAUAGCCAUAAACUCAAACAAACAACAGCAAAAUCACCAUUCUAAGCUUACUUUCUCAUACCGAAAAUCAACUCAUUUUUCCAAAAUGUCAGGUUUUCUCACUCGAUUUUUGCUCCUAAACCUUAAUUAACCUAUUAUUAUAAACAUAAACCUUCAAUUUUACCUAAUCUGACAAAUUUUAAAUUUCUGAAAAAUCAAGCUUGUGUGAACACACAAAAGGGGGAAACUCAAAAUUCAUUAAAAUUAGAUACCGAUCUAUAAAAUUGAGUUCAAAUACCUUCUAUUUGGUUCAAAAUAGGUUAGAAAUCAAUCAAAAAUAGUAGGUUAGCCAUUAUUUCGGAUUUCACUAUUGUUGAACCAAGAUUCGAUUAAAAAGCUUUAAAUGUUAAAAAUUCUCAACACACUCAAUUAAAUUCCAAAUUAGAAAAACAACCUUAAUCUAGUCAUAAUAAGUCAAGACAUUACCUCAAUUUGAAGAAAACAACAUUUUUUGGAGCUAAUUUGAAGUUGAACGUGAGAAGGAUAAUGACGAAUUUGAUGAGGAUUUAAUGAUUUUUCUUUAAAAUUGGAAGGUGUUGAGGUGUUUGGAUAGUUAGAAAAUCACUAAGGAUGAGUUAAUUUCGAGAGAAAAUAUCAAAUUUAAAUUUGAGAAUUUUUGUUGAAUGAGAAAUCAAAUUAAGAAACGGUUGGGUGUUCAUAUAGCCAAUCAAUUUUUAAAUAUUGGGUUAUUACCCUUUUGUCCCCUUCCUAUUUCUUUCCUUAUUCAAAUCAACCCUAAUUCAAUUUAGAACUCAUUACUUUAAAAUUUGAGCUCGUAUUUAAUUCCAUUUUAACUUAAUUAAUUCUCGAACAACAAACUUUAAUUUCUUUUAUUAAUUAAUUAAUUUUUUUAAUUAUGGUUUUUGUUUUAAUAUUUUAUUUAAUUAUUUAUUACAAUCCUAGUUUCCGGCACCUAACUCAAAUACUCGAUUUACUACAUCGGUCUUACUAACCUGAUUUUUGGGAUGAAAGACUCACCUUAACCCACCAAAUACUAAACUCAUUGUUACUUAAACCUUCACUUGAUACCAGGGGUGUAACACCCCAAAAAUUUGAUUGUUGGCUGUAGAAUUUUAUCGUACUUACUUCUCUAUAUCUGUGAUUAAGUGCUUCUUUUAUGUGUUCGAGGUCAAGGUUUCGAGUCGUUCUUUUAAAAGAUCCUACUAUUUUAUUUUAAUUGAAUCCCUAUUCUUGAUCUAUCGACUUAAGUUUAAUUAUGUUUAAUUCUAUGUCAAGAAUGAGCCUGUUGGUUAAGUGGUUAAGCAUCUGUUCCCUUACCGAUCUUGUGUUCAAGUCUUUGUGGAAACAAUGUAUGGUUGGUAAACAGGGAUCGAUUUUUUAGCAAGGUACGGAAUGUAUCGUCAAAUAUUCAAUAUGAUUCCACAAGAUCUAGUUUAGUUCAAGUGACGGAUUUUCGCCAAUUGAAAGGAUCUUCUGAUCAAUCCAGAGAUCGUUUCGAUUCCAUUAGUAAUGAUGAUUCGAAAUAUCACACAUUGAUCAAUCAAAGAGAGAUUUAACAACUAAAAGAAAGAUCGAUAUUUAGUUGGCUAGUUUUUUUUAAAGUUAAUUAUUUUAACACACGGACAAUCUAGGUUUGAUCCUCAGUAAUGAUGUAAAUUUCAAUUUUUACUCGCUGUUUAUGAAUUAGGACCAUACAGGCAGUAGACACGGGCGUGUGUCCAAGCCAUGUGAAUCACUGUUUUGGAAAGUAAGGUUACACGGGCUGACGCAUGGGCAUGUGCUAGGCUAUGUGGAGCCACACGGGCCAGCCAUCCAAGCAGUGUGAAACCACGCGGACAUGUGGACUAAAAAUUAGAAUUUUUCCCUUGAGCUCCAAGAGUUGUUUGAAAUGAAUGUUGGCCUUUUGUGGGGUUCCAUAUGAACUGAAUUAAACUGUAUAAAUUGUUAUUUUGUGAUAUGAGAUUGUAUACUGAAUAUUUAUAAUGGUAUUGAUUGUGAAAAUUGGUAACGACAUAGAUAUAUUCUAUGAGCAUAAACUAUAUAUGAAUGACAAUUUAAGCAUCAUUGUUAACUGUCAUCUGAAAUAUGUAUCUGUAUUGGGUGGGAAUUGGGUAAAGAAUGAAGUGUUCUAUUUUGAAUUAGUGACUAAGCCACCGGUAUCUGUAACCUGAUCUGGUAGCUAGUCUAUAAUUAUCGAAAAGUGUUCUACUGAUACUAUGGUGUGUAGGCCUGGAUAAGUAUUAAAUACUCAAUUUGGUGUGUUGGGUUGGUUGGAGAUUGUGUGUAGCAGAUGAGGGUAGAAAAAUUGCUUUUAUUCUGUAUCUAGGAAUAAACUGACUUGUUAUCUGACCGAUUUGUUUUGAUCUACUAAAGUACAAAUUAUCUUCUUUAUCUAAUUUCGAAUAUGAAUUUGGGAGCUUAUUAAUUUAACUUUAACUAUGUUUGAAUAUAUAAUUGUUUCUUUAUUGAAGUUAUUAAUUUAUUUUUUCUUUUAACUGAAUUAUAGGUAACCAUAGACAUGAUUGGGUUGGUGGAUCGGGCGCUCGGUCACACUUUUUAUAAACUAUGAUUACUAUUAGUUAAUUUCAGUAUUUUCUAGAGAUUUGACUUUCUAAACGAUAAUUUCUGGUGUAAACGUUAUGUUUGUUAAAUUCCUUGGUUCGGAAGACUUUGAAAUUAUAUUUUGACAAAUAUUUGAUGUAGCUCUCCAAAUUUGGUUUUGUCAUUUAGGCUGAGUAUAAGUUGCUACAUUUAGUGGUAUUAGAACUAGGUUCCGAACACUUGAGCUGUGUUUUUGAGAUAUUGUUUUAAUAAAAAUAUGUUUUAAAAGAAAUACAUAUUCGAAUAAUUCUAAUAACUGAUUUUUUAAAAGAUUGAGUUCCGAUGCCAAACCUGUAAGUGUUCCUACUUUAGCUAUACUAUUGGCUAGAAACUACUAUAGUAACUAAAAUUAUGGGACUUUGAUAUGAGUUGUGAAUUAAUAUAUCUGAUGAGAAUUCUAAAUUGAUCUGUGCACUUUUGGCAUUAUAGAUAAACUAAUAUUAUGAGUUCACGCGGUAGUCGUGGAUAUGAUUCUCGUGGGCGUCAUGGACACCGAUGGGGAGCUCGAACAAAGCCAUCCUUUAUGGGUAGUAUGCCUAACUUGGAAACCAGCGAAACUGUUGGAACUCCUACUGUUGAGAUUGGGUCUUAGACUCUUACCGCUGGAGACAACGAAUUAUCCCAGGCUAUGUUAUGUGUGCUGAAGAGGGUUGCUGUGACCCAUUCUGGAUCUGGGGGCCAUGGUUUAGUUACCGAGCGACUCCGGUCAAAUGACACUGAGUUAUUUAGAGGUAUUAUGGGACUCUUCCCUACAGUGGCCGAGUGUUAGUUAGAGGCCACUGAGCGUAUAAAGAACGACAUUAUCUACACUUUUAUACAAAAACUGAAGGGUGUUGUAUCUCUACUUUGAGAUGAAGCCUAUCAGUGGUGAUUGACGAUUGUGCAAAGUCCUCAGCCCGAAAAAAUUACUUGGGACUACUUCAAGAAUGCCUUCUAGAGUAAAUACGUAGGGGCAAGUUACUUGGAGGCUCGUCGAUGCAAGUUUAUGAAUUUAAUUCAGGGUAAGAGGUUUGUGGUCAAAUGUGAGGCUGAGUUUUUAAGAUUAAGCAAAUAUGCUCAAGCAUUGGUGGCAUCUGGUUAUGGUAAAAGUGUAAGGUUUCAAAAAGGUUUACAUUAGGAUCUACGAGUCCUGAUAGCUCUUCAAAAGGAGCGAGUAUUUGCAACUUUGGCUGGCAAGGCUAAGAUAGCAAAAGAAUUUAAACACACUAAGCACGAGAGGCAAGAUCGAAAGAGAGAUCAAAGUAAGGUUACUAAGAAUUCGGGUCCCUCUAGUUUUAUACAGCACUCUAAGAAACGGGUUAAAUUUGACGGGCCUCUAAGGACUGAGGCACCAGCUACAGCGAUUAAGGUUUAGACCUGUAGUUACUGUGGGAGAAGCCAUCCGGGCUAGUGUUGGAAAAAGUUGAGGGCUUGUCUUUGAUGUGGAUCAAUGGAACAUAGUGUUCGGGACUUACCCCAACGAAUUGAUCAGGUGCAAGCUCCUUCAUUGGUAGCCACUUCGGAUCAUGUUCAACCUCCGAGAGUAGUACAAUAGCCAUUUAGGGGCCGUGAUAUGGUUGGGAGUGGUUUUCGUUCUGAUCAAGGUCAGAGAGGACCGAGCAAAAGUGCAGGCCAAACUGAGGCACAUCAACUUACUUUUGUGUGUGCGACGUAGGAUCGCGAGGAUAGGGUCGAUGCUGACGUUAUAGCGGGUACAUUCUUUAUUCAUGUUAUUCAAUAUUUUGUUUUAAUUGAUAUAGGGUCUACACACUCAUCUAUAUAUCUAGUAUUAUAUCUGUGAAAUUGGGUAUUUCUGUUGAAUGUACUGCUAGAGAGGUUUUUGUGAUUACUCCUUGGGUUAGUCGGUUCGGGUUGACUAAAUAUAUAGACGGGUUUCGUUAGAGAUUCAAGGGUUAGUAUUUCUAGCUAACUUAAUGGAGUUGCUUUUUGAUGAGUUUCAUCUAAUUUUAGGAAUGGAUUAGCUCGUGGAACAUCGGGUCAGUCUAAAUUGUGCCUCUAAAAAAGUUACCUUAAAAACUGACAAGAAUUGCGAGAUCGUUAUGAUUGGUAAGCGUCAAGAUUUCCUCUCUAAUGUAAUCUCCGCCCUAAUAGCUAAAAAAACUAGUUCGAAAAGAUUGCGAGACAUACCUUCUUUUUGUGUCUAAUUUUGUUUCUGCAAAGCUUUCCGUUAAAGAUAUUCAUACGGUAAAAGACUUCUCAGAUGUUUUCCCCAAUGAGUUACCUAGUGUGCCUCCAAACAAGGAGAUUCGAUAUAGAAUUGUUAUCGGGUAUUGCUCCAGUGUCCAUUGCACCGUAUCGCAUGGCACCGAAGAGGCUUGCAAAGUUAAAAGUUUAACUUCAGGAACUUCUUGAUCAAGGGUUCAUUAGGUCAUAUGUGUCUCUAUGGGGAGCACUGAUUUUUUUUGUCAAGAAAGACGGUUCCAUCAGAAUAUGUAUAGAUUACUGUCAGCUAAACAAGUUGAUAGUAAAGAAUAAGUAUCUAUUACCAAGGAUCGAUGAUUUAUUCGAUCAUGUCUGUGGGGCAUCGGUAUUCUCUAAAAUUGAUCUUCAAUCUAGGUACUAUCAACUCAAGGUUAAGGAGACUGAUGUGUACAAGACUGCUUUUAGGACUCACUAUAGGUAUUACGAGUUCCUAGUUAUGCCAUUUUGUUUGAUGAACGCUCCAGCUGCAUUUAUGGACUUAAUGAAUCGAGUGUUUCAGCCGUAUUUGGAUAAGUUUGUUGUAGUUUUUAUAGACUACAUUUUGAUUUAUUCCAAGGUUGAGUCUGAGCACGAUAAGCACCUUCGUAUUGUUCUAUAAACACUCCAUGAAAAAUAACUAUAUGCUAAGUUUAGUAAGUGUGAGUUCUGGUUAUAGGAAGUUUCCUUUCUGAGGUAUGUUGUGACUGUCGGAUCCAGAUCGAUCUAGGUCUAUCCCAAGAAAAUUAAGGUUAUGGUCGAGUGAAAACAGUCAAAGAAUGUGUCUAAUCUUCGAAGCUUUCUAGGCUUGGCAGGGUAUUAUCGGAGGUUUGUCAAGGGUUUUCUCUGAUUGUGUCCCCUUUGACUAAGUUAUUACGCAAAAACACCCCAUUUGCGUGGUCUGAUGAAUAGCAGCCGAGCUUCAAAAAGCUCAAGUCUGUUCUGACACAAGCUCCUGUUUUAGUUAAGCUUGAAUUAGGUAGGGAGUUUGUGGUUUACAGUGAUACAUCGUGCGUCGGUUCGAGAUGUGUUCUAAUGCAAGAUAGUAAAGUCAUAGCAUAUGUGUCUCGGCAACUUAAGUUAAACGAAGGUAAUUAUCCUACUGAUAAAACUUUAAAAUGAUAUACUUUUAUGUGUUAAUUACAUAUAUAUUUUGGGUAUGAUCCUAUUAAUUUGUGUUUUUUAUGGUUUUUUUAUCUUGUAAGAACUAAAUUAAAGGCAAAAAGAAAUUUGAGGGUAAAAUGCGUGAAUUUAAAGAUAAAAUGGGUCAAAAUGCGAUAAAGGGAAGAAGUGGUACUGAAAAUACAAAGUGUUGAAGACUUAAGGCAAAUUUUCAAAGAAGAGAUUUAUGUACCUAAAACUUUGUUUAAACUUGAAUUCUAUUUUUAGGAUUAUUGUUAGGAUUAUUAUAUUGUUUAGAUUUAAUUUCAAAUUAUAUCUCUUAAACAUUAUCAUCUAGAGUUUAAAUAGGAACUAAUUAAGGUUUUUCACGUACUAUAAAUAAGAGAUGGAGUGACAUGAAUACUGAUUCAUCACUUCUAUAAAAAAAACUCCUUCCCCUUAAGGCACUUAGCCUUUUGUUUCUUUCCCUUUCUAACAAAAUUUCGUUCAUUAUACUUGUGUUUUUAUUCCCAAAAAAAUGAGUAACUAAACUCGUCUAGCCAAAGGUGUAAUGGCCUAAAUUCAAGGUUAUCGGAACAGUGGUUUCGUAACCACAAAUCCGAUUUAAAGAUAAAUUUAUUUCAAUAUUUUUGCAUGAAAAUUGAUAUGAUAGGAAAAUCGUAUGAAAAUAUUGAUAGAAAAAUUUUACCAAUUUAGUGAUUAGAUAGAAAAAAGAAAUUAUUGAAGAAAUUGGGUAAAACCAAUGUAUCGAGACCUCUAUCUCGUAAAACCGAGUCAAAAAUAAUUUUAUAAAUAUUUAUGAAAUGUUAUUAAUGUGGUAUUAAAAUUUCGUUAGGAAAUUUUAAUGUUUGGGUAGUCAAUUAAAUGAAAAGGACUAAAUUGUAAUAGGUGUAAAAGUUGCUAGAAUGAUUAAAUAGCUUAAAAGUCUAAUGAGAAAGGAUUUAAAAGGCAAUUAGACCCAAAAGUUAUUUGGGCUGGACGGCAAGGGUAUGAAAUCAACAGAAAAAUUGAUAAAUUAAGGGUAAAAUUGGAAUAUUGCAAAAUUAACUAAAUAAAGCUAAGACUAAAUAGGAAAUAUCUAGAUUUCUCUUCAUUUCUCUUCAAUUACAGCAGCUAAAAACGCCAUAGGAGGGUUCUCUAAGCUGGUAUUUCAUAAUAUUUGCACCAAGUGAGUUAAUCCUUUCCUUUUUCUUGUAAUUUUUGUGUUUCUAAGACUUUUACAACUAGGUCCUACUAUUAAAUUCAUUAGUUUUUGAUUUCAUGGAUGAAAUUGAAAGUCACCAUGGUUGAGUGCUGUAAUUUUAUGAUGAAAUAGAAUGAAAUUAAAGCUUUAAUUUGUUUAUGAGAUGAUUUUAUUAGGUAAUUUCAAUAGAAAUUGAUUUUUAGGACCUAAUUGUGAAAAUGCUUGGAAUUAAAGUCUAUUACUGAAAUUCUGAUUCCUAAAGGUUGUAAACUAGUUUAAGGUGAUAGAAUAAAAUGUUAAUUGAGAAAAAUCAGCUCAAUUGAGAGGCUAAUUGAGUAGGGACGAAAUUAUCAUUUAUUAAAAGCUUAGGGCAAAAAUGGUAAUAAACAGCUUGCACAAAAAUAGUUUGGACAGCAGCAGUAGACUAACUUUGAAAAAUCACCAUAAAUUGUAGAAAUUGAAUUAGAAGAUGAAAAAAAAUAUGGCAUUAAAGCUUAUUGAGUCUAGUUUCUCAAAGAAGAAAUAGUGUAAGCAAUGGAUUUGUAAAUUUUGAGAUAUAAUGAAUUUUGUGAGACAAGGUCAGAAUGAAUUCGGGUUCCCCUGUUCUGACUUUGAAAAAUCAUAAAAAAUUUAAGAAAAACAAUUAUGGGCUUAAAUUUAUAUGUCUAGAAUCCUUAAUGAGUCUAUUUUUAAGACAAACAAACAAUAACAUCAUUUGAAUUCUGUAUAAAGAGCUAAUUAAUUUUUAGUGAAGAAGGGUCAGAACUGUCGACAGUAGAACAGGGGUGACUUUAAAGAAUAAACUGUACUUAUUGGCUAAACCAAAAAUUCUGAAAAUUUUAUGGUAAAAAUAUAUAUGAGUCUAGUUUCAAGGAAAAUCAAUGGAUAUUAAUUUGGAGUUCCGUAGCUCAAGUUAUAAAUAAUUUAGUGACUAUGACUCAAGUAGACAGCUUUGAAUGAACUAUAAAUAAUAGUUGAAUUAUAGAGAAUGUUGCAUAUGAACAUGAAAUGUAUUAAAUUGAUAAUUAAAUUUAUUUAUUUAGAUCCGGAAGAUUCAAAUACGAAGCUAGAUCAAGGAAAGGAAAAAGUUCGGGAUUAGUAGAUUUUUAUUGUUUACAAACAAGUAUCAAGGUAUGUUCAUGUAACUUGAAUUAUAUUCUUAAAUGCUUGAGAUUGUAUGUUAUUGAUGUGAAUAUGAUUUGAGUGUUCAUUGUAUGAAAAUUAAUGAAAAAUUGAUAUAUUUGAUAAAAUAGGAAGAAAUCCCGGUUGAAUGAAAGGAAAAUUCGAUGGAUCUCUGAAAAGGAAUUGACGGUAAAAAGGAUCUAGCCCGGAUGGGUGAUCCUAUCCUGAUAUAGCCCUCCCAAAGAAUAUGUGUAAAAUGGAUUUAGCCUAGACGGGUAAUCCGAAUUAGGGUCUGAAUUUAGCCUGGACUGGUAAUUCAGAUCCAAGCUCAUUAGAGUAAUUGUCGUUGCAGGGGAUUUAGGCUGGACUGGUAAUCCCGACAAUACUCUAUGAGUUUAUAUUGCAGGGAAUUUAGCCUGGACUGGUAAUCCCGCUGCAAGGUUGAGGUUCGCGGGAGUGUGCUCUCUGAAAUGGAAAUGUGCACACAUGAAUAUGAAUUGACGAACCCGAAAUUGUACACUAAAAGUGUACCUCUGAAAAUCCAUCGAAAUUCCGAUAAAUUCGACGGGAUAAAUAUGGAAAAUAAUAAGGGAAUGAAAAUAAUGGUAUUGAUGAGUACAUCAAUCAUGGUAUAUAUUAUUGGUACAUGGAAAUUAUUGUACUAACUUAAAUGUUGAGUUUGUGCAUAUUAGGGUAAUAAUGCAUUGAAUAGAUAUAUGGAUGUUUAUUGUAUUGUAUUGAAAAUAUUAGGUAAGUAUAAUUCUUGUUACAUGAGCUUACUAAGCACGAAGUGCUUACCCCGUUUCCUUUUUCCCUGUUUUGUAGUGUUAAGAGCUCGGAGGUCGGAUUUGGUCGGAGACACAUCACACUGUCAACCUCAGGAUUUCGAUAUAUAAAGAAACUUUAUUUUAGAAAUCAAUGGCAUGUAUAAGCUAACAAAGUAAAUGUUAACGUGAAAUGAAUGUAAAGUUAGCCAUUAGUAUGGUUAACAAACCUGGUUUUAGAUAUGUGAUGACAUUAUCUUAUAAAUAUGCAUAAAUUUAUCUUGAAAAUAUGUUGAAUUGAUUUGGUUGAUGUGGAUUGAUCUCGAUUUAAUAUUGCAGGGAAUGUUAGAUAUUUAUAAAGGGGCUAUAUUGAAUAUAAAAAAAAUUAAUUCGUAAACUCCGGUAAUGCCUCGUACCCAAUUCCGGCAAUGAAUACGGGUAGGGGUACUACAUUUAUUGGUAUCAGAAGUACGGUUUAGCCGGUUCUAGGACCGAUGUAGCAAAUGCGGGAUUAGCUAUACAUGCCAUUUAAAUUAUUAUUGAUAGUGUGAUAUCUCCUGACCAUUUAAAAUGUGUUUUUCUUAUAGUAAUAUCAUCCGACCGAGCUCAAUCUGAGGAAGCUGGGAGUCAUGCUCCGGCUUCAGUACAAAGCGAAGAAACUAGCAGUAGAAGGCCCGAGACAGAUGGUCGAGGGGAGGAGGCAAAAACAACCUUCUUUCAAAUGAUGAAUGAAUGGUUUAAUCAGUAUUUAACAACUAACCCUGUAGUGCAGCAAGUUCAAGCUCCCCCUCCUGCUCAUUCAUCGGUUCCCGAGAUCCCACAGGGUGCAGGUACUGAAUCUGUCAGAAAAGGAAAAGCUUCAGUAGAUAAAAUUCAAAAAUAUGGGGCCGAAGAAUUUUGAGCAGCAGUUGAUGAUGAUUCUGAACGGGCUGAAUUCUGGUUAGAAAACACUACUCGGGUUCUGGAUGAAUUAUCUUGUACACCAGAAGAAUGUCUGAAAUGUGCCGUCUCACUGCUAAAAGACACAGCUUACCAUUGGUGGAAUACUAAAGCUUCAGUUGUUCCGAAAGAAUAAAUUACAUGGGAAUUCUUUCAGACCGAGUUUAGAAAAAAAUCUAUCAGUCAGAGGUUUCUCGAUCAGAAAAGAAAAGAAUUUCUUGAGUUGAAACAGGGUAACAGAUCAGUAUCUGAAUAUGAAAGAGAAUUUGUUCGAUUGAGUAAAUAUGCUCGAGAAUGGGUACAGUCAAAAGCUGAAAUGUGCAAACGAUUCGAAGAAGGGUUAAAUGAAGGCAUUAAACUACUGAUCGGAAUUCUUGAAAUUCGAGAGUUUGCUACAUUGGCAGAGAGAGCUUAUAAAGCAGAAGAAUUGAGCAAAGAAAAGAAACAGGCUGAGAGGGAAGCUCGAAUUUUUAGUAAAAGACCGAUGGGAAAAUCCCAGUUUUCUGCUUCAAAAAAAUUGAAGAAGUAUCAGGAUCGUUCUACUUCAGCCAUUGGGUAUUCGGGCAGAGAGCAAGGUUCUCAACGCACUAAUUCAAGACCUUCUACUCCAUCAGUGACCAGUGUUGGUAGUGUUGGCACUCCUAAGCCGAGAUGCCAGUACAGUAAUAAAGCUCAUUUUGGUGAAUGUCGAUUAAAGAGCGGGGCUUGUUACCGAUGUGGUUCUUUUGACCAUUUCCUCAGAGAUUGUCCAGAAAGAGGUGAAAAAGAAGCUGAACAGAUAUCGAAGUCGAGUAAUUCAGUUUCGAGAGGUAGACCACCUCGACCAUCCGGUAAUGUCAGUGGUAGUCGAGGAGCUACAAAAGAUACUGUAGGUAGGCCUGAGGCACGAGCACCUGUUAGGACAUAUGCCAUUCGUGCCAGAGAAGAUGCCUCAGCACCCGAUGUUAUUACUGAUACAUUUUCUUUACUUGAUACUGAUAUUACUGCAUUAAUUAAUCCUGGUUCUACGCAUUCAUAAAUAUGUGUUAAACUUGCAAUUGUUAAAAAUUUACCUGUUGAACCUAUUGAAUUUGUGGUUAAAGUCUCGAACCCCCUAGGCCAGUCUGUGUUGGUGGAUAAAAUUUGUAAAAAUUGUCCAUUGAUGGUAAGAGGUUAUUGUUUCCCGGCUGAUUUGAUGUUACUGCCAUUUGAUGAAUUUGACAUGAUAUUGGGCAUGGAUUGGUUAACCCAGCAUGAUGUGGUAGUAAAUUGUAGACAAAAAUAUAUUGUGCUAAAAUGUCAGAAUGGUGAGUUGCUCCGGGUUAAAUCUAAUCAAACAAAGGGGUUAUCUGAUGUGAUUUCAGUAAUGGCAGCACAAAGGUAUGUCAAAAAAAGGUAUGAUGCUUACUUGGCUUAUGUACUCGACACCAAGGUAUCUAAGUCAAAGAUACAAGCAGUUCCAGUAGUAUGUGAAUUUUUCGAUUUGUUUCCAGAGGAAUUACCAGAUUGCCACCAGAAAGAGAAGUGGAAUUUUCUAUAGAUUUGAUUCCGGGAACUACUCCGAUCUCCAUAGUUCCAUAUCGUAUGGCUCCUACAGAAUUAAAGGAGUUAAAGACACAGUUGCAAGAACUUGUUGACAGGGGUUUUGUCCGACCGAGUCAUUCACCUUGGGGUGCUCCGGUUCUGUUUGUGAAAAAGAAAGAUGGGUCUUUGAGAUUGUGUAUCGACUACCGGCAGCUUAAUAAAGUAACCAUAAAGAAUAAGUACCUGUUACCCUGAAUUGAUGAUUUAUUUGAUCAGCUGAAAGGUGCUACUGUGUUUUCAAAGAUUGAUCUUCGAUCAGUUAUUAUCAGUUUCGGGUAAAGGAGUCAGAUGUGCCAAAAACAGCCUUUAGAACCAGGUACGGGCAUUAUGAGUUUCUAGUUAUGCCAUUUGGGCUAACUAAUGCACCUGCAGUAUUCACGGAUUCGAUGAACCGGAUAUUCAGACCGUACUUAGACAGAUUUGUAGUAGUAUUCAUUGAUGAUAUUUUGGUUUAUUCUCGGGAUGAAGAAGAACAUGCAGAACAUUUGAGAAUUGUGUUGCAAAUUCUACGAGAGAAGCAGUUAUAUGCUAAAUUCAGUAAAUGUGAAUUUUGGCUUCGAGAAGUGGGUUUUCUCGGACACAUUGUAUCUGCCGAAGGCAUCAGGGUAGAUUCAAGUAAAAUAUUAGCUAUUGUCAAUUGGAAUCCACCGAAGAAUGCAUCUGAAGUUAGAAGUUUCUUGGGUUUAGCUGGUUAUUAUCGGAGAUUUGUACAGGGAUUCUCUAUGAUAGCUUCUCCAAUGACUCGAUUAUUGCAGAAAGAUGUAAAGUUCGAGUGGACUGAUGAAUGUCAACAAAGUUUCAACCGAUUGAAAAACCUAAUAACGAAAGCACCUGUAUUAGUGCAGCCUGAACCGGGUAAGGAAUUUUUUAUUUACAGUGAUGUCUCAUUAAAUAGUUUAGGUUUUGUUUUGAUGCAAGAAGGUAAAGUAAUAGCCUAUGCUUCAAGAAAACUUAAACCACAUGAAAGAAAUUACCCAGUACAUGAUCUUGAAUUAGCUGUUAUUGUAUUUGCGCUGAAGAUAUGGCAGCAUUACUUGUACGGUGAGAAAUGUCAUAUUUAUACUGAUCAUAAAAGCUUGAAAUAUUUGAUGACAUAGAAAGAUUUAAAUUUGAGACAGCGCAGGUGGUUUGAACUGAUAAAGGACUAUGAUUUGAUUAUUGAUUACCAUCCGAGUAAGGCUAAUGUUGUAGCUGACGCUUUGAGCCAGAAAUCUCUGUUUGCUUUACGAGCUAUGAAUACCCAGUUAUCAUUGACUGAUGAUGGUUCAAUCCUAGUAGAAUUAAGAGCUAAACCGACAUUUUUACAGCAAAUAUGUGAAGCUCAGAAGAAUGAUGAGAAGUUACAAGUUAAACGGGCACAGUGUGUGUCAGGUAAUGAUUCUGAAUUUCAGAUUGGUUCUGAUGGUUGUUUAUUAUUCAAAGGUAGGGUAUGUGUACCUCAGAAUUCAGAGCUCAUACAGAAGAUUCUACGCGAGGCUUACAGCAGUACUAUGUCUGUACAUCCGGGGAGUAAUAAAAUGUAUAAUGAUCUGAAAAAGAUAUACUUGUGGUCGGGAAUGAAACGUGAUAUCUCUGAGUUUGUAUCAAGAUGUUUAAUAUGUCAACAAGUUAAAGCUGAACAUCAGGUACCUUUGGGGUUACUUCAGCCAAUUACUAUACCAGAAUGGAAAUGGGAAAGAAUCAUUAUGGAUUUUGUAUCGGGGCUACCUUUGUCUCCGAGGAAAAAAAGAUGCUAUUUGGGUAAUUUUUGACCGAUUAACAAAGUCAGCUCACUUUAUUCUGGUACGUAUGGAUUAUCCUUUAGAUAAACUAGCUGAACUGUACAUAUCUGAGAUUGUCAGGCUACAUGGAGUGCCUGUCUCCAUUAUAUCACAUAGAGAUCCCCGAUUUACGUCUCGUUUCUGGGACAAAUUGCAAGAAGCCUUGGGUACUCAGUUGUAUUUCAGCACUGCAUUUCAUCCUCAGACAGAUAGUCAAUCUGAGCGUGUAAUUCAAGUAUUGGAAGAUAUGCUCCGAUGUUGUAUACUAGAGUUUGAAGGUAAUUGGGAGAGGUAUCUACCUUUGAUUGAAUUUGCUGACAAUAACAGUUAUCAGUCUAGUAUUAAAAUGGCUCCGUAUGAAGCUUUGUAUGGUAGAAAAUGUAGAACACCGUUAUAUUGGACAGAUCUUAGUGAAAGGAAGAUACAUGGGGUUGGUUUGAUCCGGGAAACAGAAGAAAAAGUAAAGGUUAUUCGGGAUAGUCUAAAAGUAGCUUCCGAUCGUCAAAAAUCAUAUGCCGACCUUAAACGAAAAGAGAUUGAAUUUCAAGUCAGUGACAAGGUAUUUCUGAAAGUGUCUCCUUGGAAGAAAGUCAUUCGAUUCGGUCGAAAGGGUAAACUGAGUCCAAGAUUUAUCAGGCCUUAUGAAAUCAUAGAAAGAAUUGGACCGGUCACUUAUCGAUUGGCAUUACCACCGGAACUUGAUAGAAUCCAUAAUGUUUUUCAUGUAUCUAUGUUACGACGAUAUCGAUCAGAUCCUUCACAUGUUAUUUCUCUGACAGAAGUAGAGAUUCAACCGGAUAUGACUUACAGUGAAGAAUCGGUCAAGAUAUUGGCACGGGAGACAAAAGAGCUUAGAAAUAAAAAGAUAAAUUUGGUGAAAGUAUUAUGGCAAAAGCACGGGAUUGAGGAAGCGACAUGGGAACCAGAGGAGGCAAUGAGGAAACAAUACCCAAAUCUCUUUACGGGUAAGAUUUUCGAGGACGAAAAUCCUAAAAGGGGGGGAGAGUUGUAAUGGCCUAAAUUCAAGGUUAUCGGAACAAUGGUUUCGUAACCACAAAUCCGAUUUAAAGAGAAAUUUAUUUCAAUAUUUUUGCAUGAAAAUUGAUAUGAUAGGAAAAUCGUAUGAAAAUAUUGAUAGAAAAAUUUUACCGAUUUAGUGAUUGAUAGAAAAAGAAAUUAUUGAAGAAAUUGGGUAAAAACAAGGUAUCGAGACCUCUAUCUCGUAAAACCGAGUCAAAAAUAAUUUUAUAAAUAUUUAUGAAAUGUUAUUAAUGUGGUAUUAAAAUUUCGUUAGGAAAUUUUAAUGUUUGGGUAGUCAAUUAAAUGAAAAGGACUAAAUUGUAAUAGGUGUAAAAGUUGCUAGAAUGAUUAAAUAGCUUAAAAGUCUAAUGAGAAAGGAUUUAAAAGGCAAUUAGACCCAAAAGUUAUUUGGGCUGGACGGCAAGGGUAUGAAAUCAACAGAAAAAUUGAUAAAUUAAGGGUAAAAUUGGAAUAUUGCAAAAUUAACUAAAUAAAGCUAGGACUAAAUAGGAAAUAUCUAGAUUUCUCUUCAUUUCUCUUCAAUUACAGCAGCUAAAAACGCCAUAGGAGGGUUCUCUAAGCUGGUAUUUCAUAAUAUUUGCACCAAGUGAGUUAAUCCUUGCCUUUUUCCUGUAAUUUUUGUGUUUCUAAGACUUUUACAACUAGGUCCUACUAUUAAAUUCAUUAGUUUUUGAUUUCAUGGAUGAAAUUGAAAGUCACCAUGGUUGAGUGCUGUAAUUUUAUGAUGAAAUAGAAUGAAAUUAAAGCUUUAAUUUGUUUAUGAGAUGAUUUUAUUAAGUAAUUUCAAUAGAAAUUGAUUUUUAGGACCUAAUUGUGAAAAUGCUUGGAAUUAAAGUCUAUUACUGAAAUUCUGAUUCCUAAAGGUUGUAAACUAGUUUAAGGUGAUAGAAUAAAAUGUUAAUUGAGAAAAAUCAGCUCAAUUGAGAGGCUAAUUGAGUAGGGACGAAAUUAUCAUUUAUUAAAAGCUUAGGGGAAAAAUUGUAAUAAACAGCUUGAACAAAAACAGUUUGGACAACAGGAGUAGACUAACUUUGAAAAAUCACCAUAAAUUGUAGAAAUCGAAUUAGAAGAUGAAAAAAAAUAUGGCAUUAAAGCUUAUUGAGUCUAGUUUCUCAUAGAAGAAAUAGUGUAAGUAAUGGAUUUGUAAAUUUUGAAAUAUAAUGAAUUUUGUGAGACAAAGUCAGAAUGAAUUCGGGUUCCCCUGUUCUAACUUUGAAAAAUAAUAAAAAAUUUACUAAAAACAAUUAUGGGCUUAAAUUUAUAUGUAUAGAAUCCUUAAUGAGUCUAUUUUUAAGAGAAACAAGCAAUAACAUCAUUUGAAUUCUGUAUGAAAAGAUAAUUAAUUUUUAGUGAAGAAGGGUCAGAACUGUCAACAGUAGAACAGGGGUGACUUUAAAGAAUAAACUGUACUUAUUUGCUAAACCAAAAAUUCUGAAAAUUUUAUGGUAAAAAUAUAUAUGAGUCUAGUUUGAGGGAAAAUUAAUGGAUCUUAAUUUGGAGUUCCGUAUCUCAAGUAAUAAAUAAUUUAGUGACUAUGACUCAAGUAGACAGCUUUGAAUGAACUAUAAAUAAUAGUUGAAUUAUAGAGAAUGUUGCAUAUGAACAUGAAAUGUAUUAAAUUGAUAAUUAAAUUUAUUUAUUUAGAUCCGGAAGAUUCAAAUACGAAGCUAGAUCAAGGAAAGGAAAAAGUUCGGGAUUAGUAGAUUUUUAUUGUUUACAAACAAGUAUCAAGGUAAGUUCGUGUAACUUGAAUUAUAUUCUUAAAUGCUUGAGAUUGUAUGUUAUUGAUGUGAAUAUGAUUUGAGUGUUCAUUGUAUGAAAAUUAAUGAAACAUUGAUAUAUUUGAUAAAAUGGGAAGAAAUCCCGGUUGAAUGAAAAGAAAAUUCGAUGGAUCUCUGAAAAGGAAUUGACGGUAAAAAGGAUCUAGCCCGGAUGGGUGAUCCUAUCCUGAUAUAGCCCUCCCGAAGAAUAUGUGUAAAAUGGAUUUAGCCCAGACGGGUAAUCCGAAUUAGGGUCUGAAUUUAGCCUGGACUGGUAAUUCAGAUCCAAGCUCAUUAGAGUAAUUGUCGUUGCAGGGGAUUUAGCCUGGGCUGGUAAUCCCGACAAUACUCUAUGAGUUUAUAUUGCAGGGGAUUUAGCCUGGACUGGUAAUCCCGCUACAAGGUUGAGGUUCGCGGGAGUUUGCUCUCUGAAAUGGAAAUGUGCGCACAUGAAUAUGAAUUGACGAACCCGGAAUUGUACACUAAAAGUGUACCUCUGAAAAUCCAUCGAAAUUUCGAUAAAUUCAACGGGAUAAAUAUGGAAAAUAAUAAGGGAAUGAAAAUAAUGGUAUUGAUGAGUACAUCAAUCAUGGUAUAUAUUAUUGGUACAUGGAAAUUAUUGUACUAACUUGAAUGUUGAGUUUGUGCAUAUUAGGGUAAUAAUGCAUUGAAUGGAUAUAUGGAUGUUUAUUGUAUUGUAUUGAAAAUAUUAGGUAAGUAUAAUUCUUGUUACAUGAGCUUACUAAGCACGAAGUGCUUACCCCGUUUCCUUUUUCCCUGUUUUGUAGUGUUAAGAGCUCGGAGGUCGGAUUUGGUCGGAGACACAUCACACUGUCAACCUCAGGAUUUCGAUAUAUAAAGAAACUUUAUUUUGGAAAUCAAUGGCAUGUAUAAGCUAACAAAGUAAAUGUUAACGUGAAAUGAAUGUAAAGUUAGCCAUUAGUAUGGUUAACAAACCUGGUUUUAGAUAUGUGAUGACGUUAUCUUAUAAAUAUGCAUAAAUUUAUCUUGAAAAUAUGUUGAAUUGAUUUGGUUGAUGUGGAUUGGUCUCGAUUUAAUAUUGCAGGGAAUGUUAGAUAUUUAUAAAGGGGCUAUAUUGAAUAUAAAAAAAAUUAAUUCGUAAACUCCGGUAAUGCCUCGUACCCUAUUCCGGCAAUGAAUACGGGUAGGGGUAUUACAAAAGGUUAUCAAGAUUCCUCAAAAAGAGUUCAUGAGGCUUAGAACCCGCAUGUAUCCCUUUUCAACGAGUAUUCAUCAUUUCUCCGCAUUACGAGACUGACGCUUUCGUCCAUAUCCUUCCAAAAGUAAUUUUUUCAUAUUGCACAAAGGCGACUACUUUGUAUGUUUUAGGAAGGUUGCACAGUCUAUUUGCUAACCUACUGUGUUAGAGGUUUUCAAGCCCAAGAGACAAAAUGGUGUGACAUUUGCCAUUGAGAAACAAUGAUCUAGUGUAAGAUGGUCUCACAAAAGUGGCAGUUGGCUAGAGUUAGGUUCCUCUAGAUCGUAAAGCUGUAACCUAAGUGGAGAUUAUAGUUGUAGGCAUCCUCUUCCACUAUAACUGGCUUAUUCUGUCAUGAGAAGGAUUACCUAAAAGUCUGUAAUUUAGCCAAAUGAGGAUCGAGAUAACCGGAAGUUGGAGUCUCUCAAAUCAAAAACCUAUUUUUCUCAAAUCUGCUUCUUUUCACAAUUGCAAUUUCAAUAUAUUUACUUUCAACUCAUCCACAUUCUUAAAUAUGUUUUUUUAUUAUAUUUUUUCUCAGGUCAGCUAAAUUUAUUGGGCACGAUUGCGUUCAGGAUUUCGAGGAACAAGAAGUUGUAACGAUCUAUUCCUUGAGGAUUUGACAUUACUCAUCUUAUAAUAUUUUUUUAGUUAUUUAGGGAUAAUAUAUAUUUGGUUCUUUCAAUGACACACCACCUACACAUGAUCUUGAGUUGGCUGCAGUUAUAUUUGCUCCGAAAAUCUGAAUGAAUUACAUGUAUGGUGAGCAUUGUAUCAUUUACACCAAUAAAAAAGGUCUUAAAUACUUGUUAACUCAAAGGGAGUUAAACCUUAGGCAACAUAAAUAGUUUGAGGUUUUUAAGGAUUACGACUACAUAAUAAAGUAUCAUUCCAACAAAGUCAAUGUGGUGACUGAUGCUUUUCGUCGGAGAAAGAUGACAGAUCUGAGAGCGAUGUUCACCCGUCUAAUUUUUUUCGAUGAUGGGAGCCUGUUAGCUGAGUUGUAGGUUAAACCGACUAGAUUUGAUCAGAUUCGAGUUAAAUUAUUGAGUGAUGAGUCUUUGGUUCAGCAUUUGUGUUUGAUUGAAUCAAACAAAACUACUGAUUUUGGGUUGAACAGUGACGGGGUUUUGUGUUUCAGGGGUCAGAUUUGUGUGCCUAAUGACAUUGAGUUGAGGCAAUCGAUUAUACAAUAGGCGCAUAGUAGUCAUUAUGCUAUACAUCUUGGUGGGAAUAAAAUGUUUCAAGAUUCCCGUGAAACCUAGUCUAAAAUAGGAGGUGAUUACAUUUGUAUCUCACUGUUUGACGUGUCAAAAGGUUAAGGUCAAGCACCAGUUGCCUUCUGAUUUACUUCAGUCAGUUAAAAUUCCCAUGUGGAAGUAGGAGCAUGUAUCGAUGAACUUCGUUAGUGGUUUGCCCUUGACAUCUAAUAAGAAGGAUUCAGUUUGGGUUAUCAUUGAUCGAUUAACCAAAUCUGCUCAUUUCUUGUCUGUCAAGACUAAUUACUCAUUACAGAAGUUGGCUAAGCUUUAUGUUAAUAAAAUAGUAAAAUUGCAUGGAAUUCCAGUCUCGAUCAUUUCAGAUAGGGAUCUGCGUUUUACUUCUCGAUUCUGGAAGAAGCUUCACAAGGCUUUGGGACUCGAUUAGAUUUCAAUAUGGCGUAUCACCCUCAAACUGAUGGACAGUCUGAGCGAGUUAUUCAAAUUCUGGAAGAUAUGUUGCGAAGUUGUGUAAUCGAUUUCCAAGGUAGUUAGAAGGACUAUCUACCACUGGCUGAGUUUACGUACAACAACAGCUUCCAGUCUAGCAUACAUAUGACACCUUACAAGGCUCUAUAUGGUCGUAAGUGUCGUACCCUACUAUGUUGGACAGAGUUAGGUGAACAUCGAAUUCUAGGUCCCGAGUUAGUAUCUAAGACAGAGAAUACGGUCAGGUUGAUUCAAGAUCAUCUUAAGGAAGCUUCCAAUCGACAGAAAUCAUAUACAGAUUUGAAAAGGCAAGAUAUUGAGUAUUCUAUAGGUGACCGAGUAUUUUUGAAAGUUUCUCCGUGGAAAAUGGUUCUUCAGUUUGGGCGAAAGAGUAAGUUGAGCCUGAUGUUUAUUGGACCUUAUCGUAUCUUGAAACGUAUUGGAACCAUUGCUUAUUAGUUAAAAUUACCUCCUGAAUUAGAUUAAAUUCAUGAUGUGUUCCACAUUUCUAUGUUGAGGCGGUAUUGGUCUAAUCCGUCGCACACUGUUCCUCUUGAGGAAGUUGAGGUGUGACUAGAUUUGACAUUUGAGGAUAAGCCAGUUCAGAUUCUGGAACGAGAUGUUAAAGUUCUUGAGGAAGACAAUCGUCCCUCUAGUUAAGGUUUUGUGGAGAAUUAUGGCACUGAGAAGCCCUUUUGCUUUUCUCCUGUACCAUUCUUUUUCCUUUCUUAUUCUUUUUUCUUUUCCUUUACUUUGGGUUGUUGUUAGAGUUCGGUGUGGUAAUCGGGUGAGUAUACAUUUCUCCGUUGUUGAUUGAAAUGUUAAUUGCAUGAAUUUUUGUUAACUGUAGAACUUCUAUUAAACGAUUAUUCCUUCAUUUCUGUCGAAGUUGGUUUCGACUUGAAUUGUUUGAACUCUAGGUUAAAUGAUCGUUUGACUUUCUUUUUUCUAAGCGUAGAUAUCGGAGGUAGUGAUCGCCCUCGUACUAUUUUGGGUUAAUUUCUUUGUUUUAUCAGUAAGCGUUAGUUUUCGUUGGAAGUUCCAUGUUGAAAUUUUGACACAGUUAGUUAAGUCUUGAUUUGUGUGAAUUUCAUCGUUUUAGUUCUUUAUUGGGUUGUUGGAUGAUCAAUUUAGGUUCUGAGACUUCUCCGUGUUGUUCCUACGUCAAAUAGUUACCAAGUGCGUACCGAAAACCUAAAUUUUUAUGAAUUUUAGAUGCCAAAAAACAUGGUUGUCGAUGCAACACGACCGUGUGGUAGGUCAUGUGCACUACACAACCGUGUGGUAAGCCGUGUAACUCACUAUUCACGAAUUAGAGACACGGGUUGGGGACACAAACGUGUGUUAGGUUGUGUACAUCACACGAGCUAAGGACACGGGCAUAUGUCCAGGCCAUAUGACUCACUGUUUAUGAAUUAGGACUACACGGGCUUGUGUGUCACAUGGGUCGAGACAUAGACAUGUGUCCAGACCUUGUGACUCACUAUUUUGGAAAGUAAGGUCAUACAGGUGAACAUGCAGACGCGUGUCAAGUCGUGUGGAGCCACACGGGCCAGUUAUCCAGGGCGUGUGGACUAAAAAUUGGAAUUUUUUCCUUAGGCCACAAGCAUUGUUUGAAACAAAUGAAGUCCUUUUGUGAUGGUCCGUCUGAAUUGAAUUAAACCAUAUAAAUUGAUAUUUUUUUAUUUGAGAUUGUAUAUUGAAACUCUAUAAUGGUAUUGAUCGUGAAAAUUAUUAAUGAAAUAGAUAUAUACUAUAUGAGCAUAAACUGUAUAUGAAUGAUCAUAUAAGCAUCCUUGUUAACUGUCAUCUGAAAUAUGCAUCUACAUUGAGUGAGAAUUAGGUAAAGGAGGAAGUGAUUUAUUUUAAAUUAGUGGCUAAGUCACCAGUAUCUGUAAUUUGAUCUGGCAGCUAGUCUGCAAUUAUCGAAAAGUGUUAUACUGACACUAUGUGGUGUGUAGGGUUGGAUAAGUAUUAAAUAUUCAAUUUGGUGUGUUGGGUUGGUCAAAGAUGUAGUGGAUGAGAGUAGGAAAAUUGCAUUUGUUCUGAUAUGUUUUGUAUCUGGGAAUGAGUUGACUUCUUAUUUAACUGAUUUGUUCUGAUAUGCUAAAUUAAACAUAUUAUCUUAUGUAUCUGAUUUCAAAUAUGAAUUUGGGACCUUAUCGGUUUAAGUUUAACUCUGUUUGAAUAUAUUAUUAUUUCUUUAUUGAAGUUAUUGAUUCAUUUUGUCUAUUGACUGAAUUACAAAUAAUGCACAAACAUGACCGGGUUGGCGGAUUGGGCGCUUGGUCACACUUUCUAUCAACUAUUAUUAAUAUUAGUUAAUUUUAGUAUUUUCCAGAUAUUUAACUUUCUAAAGGAUAAUUUCUAGAGUAGAUGUUAUGUUUGUUAAAUUCCUUGGUUUGGAAGACUUUGAAAUUAUAUUUUGACAAAUAUUUGAUGUAGCUCUCCAAAUUUGGUCAUGUCGUCUAGGUCAAGUAUGGGGUGUCACAAGGGGUGUAACUAGAGGGGCUGGCAGAGGACCCGACCCCCCUAAAAUGGAAAAAUUUUUAUUUUGGCCCUUCAAAUUUUUUAAAAUUUUAAAUUAAUAAAGGUAAAAUUGCACUUUGACCCCCUAAAAAUGAUAAAAAAAUUUGAUUUAAUCCUUUAAAAAUUAUAAAGAUAUAAACUAUUAAAACGGUGAAAUUGUAUUUUUACUAUUGUAAAAAUUACAAUUUAAUUUCGAUCCCCUUAAAAUAAAAUUAGCUCCGCUCAUGCUUGAUACUUCACACUUCAAUAUCGAAAUAGAAAAAAUUGAAACCUUCAAAAUAACAAUAUAACAUUAUAAUUUUUUAAUAAGUUUUUUAAGUUUUUAUCAUGUUGAUAAUUUAUUAUAACUAUUACAGUUUUUUUUUUAAUUUUUCUAUAGUUUCUAAAAUUUUUAUAAUAUUUUCUAAUUCUUCCAUAUUUUUUAAUAUACUAAUAAUUUAUACUUUAUACUUUUUCUAUAUUUUUAUAAUUUCUAUAUAUAUUACCAUUAAUUUUUGAAAUAUUUUUAGUAUUUUUUUUAUAAAUUUUAAAUUUCUUAAAUUUGUUAUAUGUUUUAAUAAUUUGUAGGCUUAAAUAAAUUAAAAAAAAUCAAUUAAGUCCUGUAUAAUAGUCUCUACGUCAACCCUUAACUGUCUAUAAGAAGAUCUCAUAAAAAAUUACAUUUCAAGAACUUAAAUAAUUGUUAAGUUUUCAUUAAAAGCUCAAAUGAUUGCAUUUUGUGAUAACAACUUAAUUUAAUAAUUUUGCAAAAAUGUUAGAAAUCAGGUUUGUUUACUCAAUACUAAUAAUGUUUGUUUCUUAUACAUUAAGAUCGCAUUGUUAUUGCUAUUAUUAAUUACACGUAAUUGUCUUUAUAUGUGAUUGAAAAAGAAAAAGGCACCUUUAAAAAAGAAAGCUAUAAAGGAUAUGCUUUAUCUCCCCAACUGAGGAGCAAAACAACAUUUAAGAGACUUGUAAUGUAAGCCUAUAGUUUAUACAAUAACCAACAUCACAUUUUAUCAUUAAAAAAUAUAAAUAAUUAUUAUUGACUGUAAUAUAAAACCAAGAGAAAGAAAAAGGAAGAAAUUAAUGUAUUAUAAAACCACCUAAAAACUGCUAAGCGCCAGAGAGAUAUUAGUGUCGUAAUUAAAGGCAAAAGAAGAAAACAAUAAUGUCGUUGAGUUAAUGCUUUCUUUUUUGUUUUGGUAAUGCAGUUCUUUUUCAUUUUUGUCUUUACCAUGAAAGAUGCAAGAGGAGGAAGGGCGAUGAUAGUGAAGUUUUCGAGCAAGUUGUUGAAAUUAAAUUGUGAAGAAAAAAUAAAUAAAUAAAUGAAGAUCAAGCUUCUUCUUGGUAGGACUUUUAAUGCAAGUGGAGUCCCCAGUCCCUGAAGCAAUCCAGAGUUGCCUCUUAUGUAUGAUUCAUAUGCUACACUACUACCAGUACUGCCAUGUGCUUUCUUUUCUUUUGUUUCUCCUCCUUUUAAGCCUUGAUUGAACAUUCAACUACUCUACACUUUGAAACAUGGGGGAAGCUCCAGAAAUACAACUGCAGGUCCCGUGUAAGUCACCUUUUCACUAUAGAUAUACAUGCUUGUUAGCUAUUAUAAAUUAACAUGUAAAGUGUUUGAUUGUUUACCAGCUGAGGAUGAGAAAUUAAAUGAAGAUUCAGUUGAGCAGCAAACAAAUGGAAACCAGUCAACAACAAUCACGCAACAAAGAACCUACAAAUGGUGGCUACUAAUGACAAUCUAUACAUUUUUUCUUCUUUCUGGUCAGUCAGUGGCUACACUUCUGGGAAGAUUGUACUAUGACAAAGGCGGAAACAGCAAGUGGCUAGCAACCAUUGUUCAAGUCGUCGGUUUCCCAAUCCUCAUUCCCUUAUAUUACCUUCCAUCCUACAAAUCUUCACACACUAGCAACAUUACAACCAACCCACCCUCUCUUUUAGUUCAUUCGGGCAUGUAUUUUGGGCUUGGACUACUUUUGGCAGCCGGUUGCUUGUUGUAUUCAGUUGGUCUUUUGUAUCUCCCGGUCUCCACUUAUUCACUCAUUUGUGCUUCCCAAUUAGCCUUCAAUGCCUUGUUUUCCUUCUUCUUUAACUCACAAAAGUUCACCCCUUUCAUAAUAAACUCUUUGGUCCUCCUCACAAUCUCUUCCACCCUCCUCGUAUUCCAAAACGAUUCCUCAGGUUCCACACCAGUUCCCAGAGCCAAAUAUGUGAUCGGAUUUGUAUGCACGGUGGCUGCUUCAGCAGGGUAUGGAUUGAUGUUGUCUCUAACACAACUUUGUUUCCAAAAGAUUCUCAAGAAACAAACAUUUAAGGCAGUGUUGGACAUGAUAAUCUACCAGUCAUCGGCUGCAACUUUGAUGAUCAGUGUGGGUCUUUUCGCCAGUGGGGAGUGGAAGAGUCUGGGCGAAGAAAUGGAAGGGUUUAAACUGGGUAAGUCGGCAUACGUUAACGUUUUGGUUUGGAUUGCUGUAGGGUGGCAAGUUUUCUCGAUUGGUGCGGUGGGUUUGAUCUUCGAAGCGUCAUCGCUUUUCUCGAAUGUUAUCAGCACGUUAGGACUACCCAUUGUUCCAGUGUUUGCGAUGGUGUUUUUCCACGAUCCAAUGACUGGAGUUAAGGUCAUUUCCAUGUUGUUGGCCAUAUGGGGAUUUGUGUCCUAUGUUUACCAGCACUAUCUUGAUGAUCGAAACUCUGAUACUGGAAAACUUUAAAUCAAAAUUUGUCAAAAAUUAGUAUUGGGUAAUCAAUCCUAGAGCAAGAAGUUACAUUUCUUGUAUUUAUGCCUAUACUUUGCUUUCUUCUUUAAAGUUUUUGAGAUUAAUUCAACCCAAAUCUUUUAUUUCACAAUAUAACAUCAAUAGUUAUUAAAAGGUUUAAUAUAAUAUUUAGUACCUCAACUUGACAUUUUUUUAAAUUUGAUAUUUAAACUUUUUUUUAUCCAAUUUGAUACAUAAACUUAUAUUUUUUUUCCUAAUUUGGUACCUAAUCUUUUUGGUAGUCCAAUUUGAUACUUGAACUUAACUCUUUUUUCUUAAUUUGUACCUAAUUUCCUCUUCUUCUUUUUUUUCGAUUUGGUACUAGUCAAACGUUUUACAAAUUACUCCAAUAUACUAACAAAGUUAUUUUUACAUGUAUAAUCGACAUGUGACAGAUAAUAUGAUUUUUUUUUGUAUUUUUUAUGUUCAAUUACUUUUAGUUUUAAUUAUUUUAUUAAUUGAAAAUAAUGAAUUUAUUUUAAUUUGGGGUUUUAAAAAUAUUUUUUUCUUAUUUAGUAUUAAUUCGUUAAGUAUAGCUCAAUACAUAUUUUUCUAAACAUCAAUUUCUUCUAAUACUGACAAUAUUCUUGUAGCAUAACAAAAAAAAUUUAACAUAGUUAGUGUUUUCCGUAAUUUGUAUAAUAUUUAAUAAACUUAGGUACUAAAAGAAAAAAAAGCGGAAGAUAAUAUUUAGGAAGAUGGCAUCAGUAAUCACCGUGUAAAAUUGGGAAUACUUGUUCACGCUAAAAGCAUGUAGGCAAGGUUCUCUAGUUCUUAACGGGUCUGAUUUUGGGUACAAGCAAACAUGAUUUAUUUACAUGCAUUCAUUGGUGGUGCCCACUCAAAACGUUCCACUACCAAAGAGGCGUGGAGUUGUAAUCAAAUGUUUUAGUUUGCAGAUUGUUUUUAGGUAGACAUCACUUCUUUAUUUAUUCACAAUUAUCAAUAAAUUACUAAUAUUCUUUAACAUAUUCCAAAAUGUCCAAACUUAAAAAUCUCCAAUUCCUUAUUUAUUUAUAAUUUAUAUUAACAUAAUUGAAAACCCUGUUUUUUUUUAUAUAAAAUCUGUAAAAAAAAAUUUAAACUUAAAAUAAAUUCAUAAAUUAUAAAACUUAAACCUAAAAUAUCAAUAUACUAAAAUUCAACUUUAUUAUUUCAACUAAAACUUAAAUUUUUAUUUUUUCAUAUUUUUUUCACUAACAUCAAACAUUAUACAACAAUUUUGCCCCUAAUCUAUCAUUGUCUUUUUCUAUAACCGUAUAGUGUGUUUCACAAGAUGCUCAAAGAGUAGAUAUAUUUGAUGCAAAGGGUAAAGUGGUAUAGGAGGUUUAUUUGUAAUUUUUUUUUAUCUAUUAAAAGGAUAACUACUUUAGAGAAACGAGAAAAACAAUCCACUUAUUAAAAUUUUGUUGUUUUUUUACUUUUUAUAUAUAAUGUAUAAUAGUUAUAAACUUUUUUUUUUCAAUUUCACCUUCACUCUUGAAUCAACUUGAGCCUUGUCCCUUCAUAACUAAGAUGGCACAAUAAUUUAAUAAUUGUAAAAAAUUUCUAUAUCUUUCAUAUGUUUACUUUAAAUUUAUUAAAUUAUAUUUCCAAGAAGCUUAUUAUUUGAAAUUUCUUGUGGUAUGUGCUUGUUUGACAUUUGAAUUAAUCCUAAGGCAAAUAAGAUUGAGAAACAAGUGAAGUUGUAGGAUUUUGAAUCCAUCUUUUAUGUUUUAUUUAAUCUUCUAUAAUAACUUUUCGUUUAUAAAAGUGAUAGUCAUAGUGGUGAAUUACAUUUUUUAUUAAAUUAGUUCUCUAUAACAACAUAUUGUCUAAAAUUUUAAGUAAAUUUAUUAAUUAUAAUUUAUUGCUGGGAAUCGACCUAUAUAAACAACAAGAUAGUAAGAGUGGAGAGGAAUGAACACAAAUAUUUUACAUAGAAAACCUUCAAAGAAGGAAAACCACGGGCAAAUGAGGUAUCAACUUUUCACUAAAUGAGUAAAUAAACGAAAAUACAAUAUGGAGAAAAUAAACCUAAAAGUACUAAGUGCACAUAUCCAAACCCCAAAAUAAAGUCAUAACUCAGGAAUAAAAUUCUCUCCAUAGUUACCACGAAACUCUCUCCAAAACUCAUAUGCUACUACAUCUUGUCUCCUUCAAAUAAAAAUCAUUGCUAAUUGGCAUGUACAAAACAGGGAUAUAAUGACCCCUUUAAAUAGGCUAAGAUCAGAGUUCUAAUCAUACUAAAAUAUCCCUAAAAUAAUCAUAGUUUGAUUGGGAGAAGUAGUCCUACUUGGAGUGAAAAAUGCGGCUACAUACGAGGAGAACACAUCGUGUAAUCAUGACAUCUCAUGCAUGCUCGUCAUGAUGUCGCCGCUACCUUAAGUUGGGAGUUUGUCGCGUCGUCCUGACUCAGUUUUGUUUUGGCCCUUCUUUGAAUCCUCAUCGGUUCUUGUCUAAGAUGCCUGCAACGUGUCCAAUAAAUGCGAGGCACACCCCAAAUUUAUUAAAUAAAAAUUAUCUUAAUUAAAAUAUUAUUUCAAUAAAAUGUUUAAAUUUCACAUGAAAAAAUCUGUUAAUUUAUUAAUAAAAUAAUCUUCAAUGAGUAGAAUUAAAGAUACAAAUUCAAUAAACUAUUAAGUUCCCUUAUUAAAUAUUCUACUAUGAAUUUGGAACAUCAUAAACUUAUAAAUUGAUUACUUGAAUUUAAUAACUCGUGAUAAAUUAAUUAAUUUAAUUUUGAUAACUCAUUGGUUAACUGAACAUGGUAAAUUUGUGAAGUUCAUAAUUAGUCAUGUGAAAUAAUAUAGAAGAGAAUAUACAUAAAAGCAAUAAUACAUGGCCCUACUAUACCUCUUUUAAUUUUGUUAAUUUGAUUCUCACAUUCUUUUUUAUUAUGAUGAUUAUUAUUAUACAUAAUUCUCACUUUCUUUAUUUUAUGAAAUCACAAUAUGAAUUUUAUAGUAGGUUUACAACAAUUAACAACAUGCUAUUAUAGGUGUAUACUAGCCACUUUUCUAUAAAGAUUGAAAUCUUAACAGGGAAAUAAAACUGUUAUAGAGAGCAUUGAGUGUAAUAAUAAUACCUACCGACAAAGAGAUACAUGAAGAUUUUUCAAAGAUAACAUGUCUUACUGGAAAUGGUAUUUUUUACAACUAUUGAAAGGUUGAUAAAUAGUAAACCAUAACAACUUUAUUUGUGGAAAUCUUUAUCCGAUGACAACAACAUUGAUUGUGUUUUAUUUUAUAUGAAAUUAGUUGGCUAGUUGUAUGGAUUAUUUCAUUAUCAAGGAAUUGAAGUCACUAACUCAAUGACAAGUUAUAUGGAUUUAGUUUCUUGUUACUUUGUGAUCACGUUCUGAUGAUUUUGAGUUAAUUGUGUCGAAUUAAAUGUUAUUUUAUUUUUUAAAAACUAUAAUUUCAUAAUUAUUAUUACAUUUUAAAAAUUUCGAAGUGAUUUAGAUAAAAAUCUUAAUUUAAUAAUGAAUUUUAGAGUUUGGACUUGACAUGUAAUGUUAUUGUUAUAGUAUUUUUACUUACAAUUUAUCCACAAUUUACUUCUUAAAAAUGUUUUCAAAUCUUAAAACUAAUUAAAAUCUAAAAAAUCUUGAAUUUAACAUAUUUUAAUACUCAAACAAAAAAUUUGGAAAUCAUGAAUUUUUAAAAUUAAAAUUUUGGAAUCCAAAUCCAAAUAUAAGUUUCCAAAUGCUACCUAUAGUAUAACAUGUUUUUAACAAAUAUAGGAAAAAUAUUAACUCAACUAAAAAGAGACAGUGACAGAUUGAAUAUUUGUAUUCUCAAUAACAUUUUUUGUUGUUUAAAAUUUUUUCCUAAACUCAUUAUUUUGAAAAUUAUUAUCAAUGAAACAAACACAACAUAAAUUUAAGUGUAAAUCAACAAACAACAUUAAUUCUCAAAGCUAUUUUUUUAUAAUUAAUCUAAAAAAUAAUUUUUAAUACUAGUACUUGAAUUUAAAUAACAUAGAAUAUGUCAAGAAAAUAAGAGAAUCUUAUACAUGUUUAUGCUUUUUUUAUAUAUAAAAAAAAGUUGAAGCAUUUUAUUGCGUACGAAAGUAAAGAAUUGAACUAUAGACUGCUAUAAUAAGAAAAGCUCAUAGCACACUUUAGUUUUUUGAAUAAAGCUUUUAUUACAAUUCGAGAAUGGAUAACAUAUUUAAUAACAUUCUAGUGAAUAAAGAUGGGUAAUCUUUUAACCCGUGAGUAUCAUGAGGUGUCAAUAAAUCAUGUGUAGUAAGACUAUCGGCUACUAAAGUUAGUAUCUCUAUGUACAUACUGGAAGUUGCAUCCUUCAAUGACUUUUUACUUCCUUCUCCCUUCAUUUGUUGCCAUAGCACACUCUUUAAAACAAAACCAUUUCAAACUUUGAAACAAUUUCAAAAACUUGUAAACUAUGUACUAAACACAACAACCACUUGUAGACGUAUGAAAACAUAACUAACAAUAUAUUGGUUCUAUCUAUACCAGCCUUAGCUAAUUUAUCAAACUCCACGUUGUCUUUCCUUAGAGCAUUUUGCACCUUACACUAGAAUUGUGGUCGAUUUAUUGCUUUUUGUUAUAAUUUAAGUGGCAUCUCAUGAAAAUGUGAUUGUCCUAAUUUAUCUUGGUAAACAUACAAAAUUGGUCACUCACUUUCAUGAAAUCAUUAGCAAAAAUAAAUACUUUAGCAUCCAAAGAAUUUACUUUAAUUAAUCUAAAGUCUUUAAUCACCAUAUCUAUGAAAGCUUUUGAAUUACUCUCUCUUAUACAAUUCACAUCAUCUAGAUGCUCAUAUUUGUUUGAUAUGAUAUUGUUGUUAAAUAAAAUGCUACUAGAUUUGAGCCCAUAGUCUUUUUCAUCUUGUAUAUCCCAUUAGCAAUAGCAUCAUAUAGUAAUCAUUAUAUUUAUUUAAUGCCAUGACAUUUAAACUAGAUCAAGCUCCAUGAAAAUCUCCAAGUACUAAUAGCCGGAUGAAAUAGCUACAACAUGAUUACAUAUGGCAAGAAAAAUGUUGAUCUUAGUAUUAAUAAUAUUCUAACAAAACAAUGAAUAAACACCAAUCAUAAUAGUUGGAGCAAGUAGAUGUAGAAUGACAAAACAUUUUUUUGUUGAAAGCAUUGAGAAGCUGUAUUACAAGUGUAUAUAGGAUUACAUAAGAUUAACAUGAUGCAUAACACUCCAUUUUUAUUUAAAAUUUUUGAUGAAAAGGUGUUCAUUCUUGAAUUGAGACAAGAAGUGCAUGAUAACACUAAAACAACAAAAAGAAAAAUAGAUAACAAAGUCUUACAAAGAACUAACACUUUUGUAGCUUUUUGGCUCCGCCAAAGCUAAAAACCAAACACCACAAGAACAUUAUUAGGCUCAAGAUACAUCGAGAUAGGGGUGAUUUGGUGUUUAAAAGUUUGGAAGAAUUGCUCAAAUAAAAUUUACACAAAAGAUUAGAAUGGUUUGACAUUAAUUGCCUACAUUUAUUACUUUAGUUGUAACACCAUUUACCUGACCCGAAUUACCGAAUCUAGAUAUUGGAUGCUUCUAGACUUAAACACUUAAUAAUUUUUUUUAAAUGGCGUAACUUUAUUACAACAAACUUCUUAUUUAUUUCUUCACAACUAUUAAGAAGAAGUACUCUUUAAAUACAACAAAACUAAAUUAUGGUAUACAAGUCAUUAAAAACUUAAAACCUUGUUAAAGACAGACCCAAAUAUUGCGUAGAAUACAAUUUGCCAUAUCCCUAUAAUGCUCUCUGUAUGCAUAAUAUCUUAAAAUGAACUACCACUUUGGCGCAUUCCUUGCUCAAUCGCUACUAGCAUAUCAACUUUACUUUAAAACCUGCAUAACAACCAGACACUCAUAAAUUCAAAUGAACUUAGUGAAUUUUAACCAAGAUUACCUUUGAACAUUUGUUGCAGAAUUCCUCAACUCGAAGAUUUUGAAUUUCUCUUUAGUCUUUGGUGGACACUUUCCUAAACACCAGACGCAUACCUACAUGCCGAACUCUACACUUAACCCUAUAUACACAUUUCACUUAUUAGGCAGAUUGCAGAAUUUACCUCUCAACGCGGGUCUUAUUUCUCACACUCUAGAAAGGUAGAAGCUAGAUACAUUCCUCGUAGUGAUAUUCAUGCAGAAGUUACUUUCAGCAUAUUGUUACUCAGACAGAUGUUUAAUGUUUUGCCUAGAAUACUAUGUAAACAAUUAUUUUUCUUGGCAAAUUCUUAUACAGACAAACGUUGGAUAUUCAAAUCAGAAUGGUUUGCAAAUAGAUCCUAUCUCUGGUGAACUCAUACACUAAUUCCAGAGCUGUCAGAAUAUUGAUCAGGUCAUAACUUUAAAUCAACCCGAAGAACAACCAAUUCUAAUGGAUACAAUAUUUUUAGACAUUCAAUAAAAUCCUAGAACACUAUAUUACAUAGCGAGAGAUACCCAUAUUUAGCGGAUACUAUAGAAACAAAGUAACCUCUAUACUUAUUAUGAAAAUACUCUGGCUUGACGGACGCUUAUACUACCCAUAACUUCGAGCACAUCGAAUUAUCUAUUCUAGCGGAACUAUAGCAGAUUUAUAUAUCGAGUAUAUGUAGAGAAAACUCCUUCAGAUAUUUCUUCAAACAUAAUUUAAGACAUUGCCACAAAACAGAUACUCACCACUUAGAUGAUACAAAACUUACCACACAGACAUUGCAGAAUACACCACAAAGGCAUUGUAAAAUAUGCCACAAAGACAUUGAAGAAUACACCACAAAUACAUUACAGAAUAUGUCACAAAGGCAUUACAAAAUAUGCCACAAAGGCAUUAUAGAAUACGUCACAAAGGCAUUACAAAAUAUGCCACAAAGGCAUCGCAAGUAACUUGCCUAAAAUGCUUUGUUUGGUUGCCACUAAGGCACCACAUGAAUUGAUGUGUUUGUGGUAUUGAUUUGCUUAAACUCAUUAUCGCGUGAUGUUUGCGCUUCAUUUCCCCGGGACACGCAAAAACCUAAACAGAUAAAUGUGGACCAUUCAUCCUUUCCAGAAUAUGCCAUUGUUUAAGAAGAAGAACUAGAGUGUAGAACGAAAGGAAAAAAAGAAAAACAUCUGAAUGUUAAUUUCUUACCAUAUAUAUAUACACUUAGUUCCUCUUAGUGGAUCUUGACAAAUGUUAUAUGCAUACAAAAAUUGUCUCUUUAAUGCCCUAUCAAAACCGAAAAAAACAUAAAAGAGAAUCCGGUGCAGAUAUUGUUUGACCAGCCCAAUCCAUUCAGUUGACUCCCACCCAAUCAAGUUACAAAACCCACAUGGCACAUUGUUCGAGCAAAUCAGGUGUACCAUACCUUUGGCGAAAACUCUCAUCAGGCGUGCUCUUAAAGACGAUCUAAUUUCUUAAAACUCUCACAUACACUUGACAUGCACGUCAUGCUCAGUCAAAAUUCUUCUGGGCCAUACUCUUUGGUUAUUUUACUCUUCUUCAAUUGGAAAACACCUCAAGAUGAAAUCCUUAGAUUCUAAAUGGGCAGGUACAUUAUGCGCCAGGACUUAACUUGCCAAAAUUUUGAAAAGUGAUGGGUUAUAUUACAAUAGUGCGCCAAUACAGGUAACUUACAUAUCUAUUCGUCUUUUCCUUGUAUCAAAAAGAGCAGAUAUGAUAAUAACCUAGAAUGAAAUUAAUGUUAAAAAAAAACAUUUUAAUUUUACACUAGCGUGUAAAACUGCACCAUUAGUGUACCAAAUAAUUAUAGUUAUAUAUCUUUACUAACUUAAAAUGUCUUACUGUAUUAAGUUAUUACAACGAGUUAACUAAAGAUUGACUAAGUUGAUGAAUGACUUAAAAACCUUUUUUUAAAAUUGUAAUAAAUGUUAUUGUAAUGCCAUUUUAUAAAAUAUUUUUAUAUAAAUCUUUAAAUAAAACAACUAAAAAUUAAUACUUAAAACUAACCAUAUAUCCAAGCCUCAAACCAAAAAUUAAUGAAAUGUUAUAUAUAGGUCGUUUACACUUCACCUAUUUUUUUGAUAAAUAAAUCUUUUAUAAGCAUAUAUUUUCAGAUAAAGCUUUUUUUUCACCCAUACUUUGGCUUGUCAUAAUUUAAUAGAUUAUUAUUAAAAUUUCUAAUUAAAUUGGUAUUAUAAGUUAAUUAGACAAAAAAUAUUAAAAAAAAAACAAUAACAACAUUUAAUAGAGUUAUAUGGGUAGUGCAAAUCUUAAAAAAAAAUCUCCUUAAUAUUAUUUUUAUUUUUUAUCAAUAUUUAUUAAUUUUUUAAAAGUUUUCAUAUCUUAAAUAAUCUCUUUUCUAUAUUACUUAAAUGAUUAUUUAUUCGUAAAAAAAUGAUUAUUUAUGGUACAUACACAUCUAUAAUGUAUAUUAAAGCAAAAAUAUAUGAAUUAUUGUUGUGUGUGUGUGUUUUUUUUUCUAUAAAAGCGGUCCUCAAAUGUUUACGCAUUACAAUUUUUUUGUUUGUUUGCUUUGGGUGGGGGGAAAGGGAAGGAAAAAGGAAUGGAAAAAAAGAAGAAAAAAAAAAGGAAAGAUAAAAGAAAAGAAAAGGAAGAGAAAGAAAGAAAUAUAUCAUCAUUUUUUUCCUUAUUUAAAGUAUGAUGUAAUUAUUAUAAUUAUAAUUUUAAUUAAAAAUAAUAAUAUUACCAACAUGUUCACCACCAACAUAUUUUGGGAUUCAUACCCUAUUGCCUUGUAAAAACCUUUUUAAAUAAUAUAUUUUAAAAAAUUGUCCUAAAUCAAUUUAAUAAUAUCAUAAAUGUACAAUUUAAUAAUUAAAAACAAUAAUAUAAUAAAAUUAAUAUCUAUAUUUUUAAAAAAAAGAAAAAAAGUAAAUAUUAUUUAAUAAAACCUAAUUUAAAAUUAAGUGUUAUGUAAUUAGUAGGCUAUUAAAUAUAUUGUAGGUUUAAAUACUCCUUAGGACCUUGCCAAUUUUAAAAUUAGAUAAAUUGGUUCUUGGAAGAAAAAGGAAUAAUUUGCUCCAUAACUAUUUCCAUACAUGGCAUGAGCCAAAUUAUAAUUGGUUAAUUUUUAAAUAAUUUAAUAGAACUAAAAAUAUCAUAUAAUAUUAAAAAUAUUUAAAAAUUAUAAAAUUUGAAAUAAUCCUAAAUAAUCAAUAAAAUUUUCAAAAUUUCGAAAAGAAGAUUUAAAAUUUAUAAAAAUUCAAAAUACUAAAAAAGUAAAUAUUAUUAAAAAAUGAAAAAAAAUCUCAAACUGUCUAAAAGAAAUACAAAAUAAUCUUCUAACAUCCAAAAAUAAAGUUUAUAAUUUAUUUUUCCAAAAAAUCAUUGAAAAUUUAAAAUAUAAUAAAUUAUAAAAAUUUCAAAAAUUUUAUAAUUUCAAUUUUAAAAAAUACAAAAUAAAAAAUUGACAAUUUUUUUCGUUACUGAUAUUAUAUAAUAAAUAUAUUUUAAUGUUUUAAGAAAUAAAUUUUAAAAAUACAAACAAAUUGUCUAAAAUCCAAAUAUAUAUCCAAAAUAAAAGGAAAAAAAGAGUUUCAAUAAAAAUAUUAAAAAUUGGAAAAUUAAUGAAUAAAAUAAUAUUUCUAAAUUUUUGAAAAAAAAUCCAAAAAAUUAAUUAAAUUUUUUGGAAAGUCUAUUUGUUUUAUGAAUUUUUUUAUAUUUUUAAAAAUUUUUUUUUGGGGGGUUUAAACUUCUUUUGCAUUUUCUUGACAAAGUUUUUAUUAAAAGUAUUAAAAUUAAAAGUGAUACUAUGUCGUUUACCAAAAAAUGUCAAAUAUAUAUAUAUUACUCAUUUUUUCGUACUUUAUCAAAAUGUUGGAAAAUUUUCAAAGUUUUUUGAAAUUUUUGUAAAAUUUUGUAAACUUUUUAUAUAAUAUAUAUUUAAUUUUUUUAAUUUUUAGUAAAUUAUUGGAAAUUGUUUGAAUUUAAGUUUUUUUUUAAUUUAGGAAGCUUUUUUAUUUUGAAAGCAACUAAUUUAUGUAAAUUAUUUUGGAACUUUUUAUUUUUUUGUAAAUAAUUUUGAGAGCAACUAAUUUAUUUAAUUUUAAAAUUGACAGAAAGUGUAUAUUUGUGGCAGGGAGUUAACUCUGUACAAAAAUAACAUCAUCAUUAAUUAGAGCAUUUAUUUUUGAAAGCUUCACUUAACAACAACAUUUAAGUAAGUGGAACCCACAAUUAUAUUGCUUUUAUAUUGAUAUUUAGAGCGUUUAAAUGGUUAACUGAAUCAAAUUAAUAUUGAUUACAUUAAAUUAAUUUUUUGUAUUCUUUAAACAUUAAUCGAAUCUAAUUUUUUUAAAAAAAAAUUAACCGAACUAAAAUUUAUAUAUUUUUUUGUUAAAACAAGUACAAAACAUAUAAAAAAAAUUGAUAAUAUUUAUUUGACCGAAUUAUUUGAAUAACCGAAUUAGUAAUAGCCUAAUACAUAUAAUAUAUAAUAUUAUUUAUUAAGUUCAGUUAAUUCAGUUAAUUACCAGAUUUCAAACCGAAUUAACUUUUAACCGACCUCUGAUCGAACUAGAUCAGUUAACUAACCGAUUAAUCGAAUUAGAUCGAUUCAAUCGGUUAAUUUGGUUUUAACCGAAGUUUGAACACCCUUAAUUAUUACUGAUACAUGCACGAAUUGGGUGAAAUUUAUUAAAUUUCAUUCACCAAAGCUGCCAAUUUUCAAGUUGGGAAAUCAGCAGACUUGCAAUAACUUUUUGGAUGGAAUCUGACAUUUCUAGUUUGAGAUGUCUUCAUGGAGUUUGAAGGUCUAUCUCUUAGCUUCGAAAAACACUUUAAAUCACUUGAUUUUGAGUUCGAGAGCUCAAGUUAUGACUAUUUUAGUAAAGACUGCGUGGGCAGAAUUUCUAAAAGAGAUUAUGACGGGAAUUACGAGCUUUGGGCUUUUAAUUCAAGUUUAAAUCAUAUUAGGUUCGAAUUUUGGACUUAAUUUUUGUUGUAUAUGAGCCCAAUAUUGUAUUCAUUUGUCUCAUUCCUUAUCAUUUGGUAUCAAAUUUGGGCGUUUCAGGUGUUCUCUUUGUUCUUAUAAGCUGAUUUCUAACAAACAGCCUCAAAAUAAUUUUUUUUGCCCAGACAAUUUUCAAAAAGAAAGAUUUUUCAAAGGGUAAACGUUUUUUAAAUGAUCUGAAAUUUUACAUGCUAUUUCAUAGCAAAAUUUUCAAAUAUAAAAAUUUUUCGCUCUAUGAAGGAGUGGGCGAAUAAACAUCCGGCACAGCUAGUGCACAGGAGGUGACACCUACCACACUCCUGGCUAGGCGCACUCUCGUCGAUCCAAGGGAUGGAAGGGCAGAGACCUUUGGGAGAGGAGCAAAAGUGAGUUGAUUUUUGCUCGCCGCCUAAACCGUGAAAAAAAGGGUUGUGGGAGAGCAUUCUCUUUAUUGAUUCUCAAAAAGAAAAAAAAAUUCGUGUUGAAAAUUUUCAGAUUAAUGAGGAAGCUUCAGUUUAAAUUUUGUAACUUUUGAAAAUCGGGAACACCUCAAACGAAGUUUGUCAAGUUGCUUUACAAUUUUUUAGAUUUUUGGGUUUCAAGGAUUUUCAUUGACUCUUAGCUUUAGGUUUUCAUUUGUUUUUCCUUUUUAUUGUUCCUAUACACAUUCUAACACUUUAUUGUUUCUUGUGUUAGUAGGUUAAAGCAUGUUACACAUUCCUUCCUCCUUGCAACAUAAUUCUUUUAUGUCUAGCCGAUUUUUGGACUCAUAGUGCUGUUAGGUUUACUUUAUUAGUUUGAUUCUAAUACAUUCUGGUUUAUUGAUAUGGACACUUUUAAAAGACUCACAAGAUUAAUUCUUACCUCAUUAAUAAUUUUAUUUUAUUUCUGAGUGCAUAAGGUGAUGUUUGCGUAAAAUUUCUUUUAAGUGUUGUGUUUUUCCAGGCUUUCACAAUGACUCAUGACACUCGUAAUCGUAAAAAUCAUGAUGAGACAUCAUCAAAUGACAAAGAACAAGAUGUUAAAUUUGAGAAUUUUGUGGGGAUGAUAAAUUAUCAACAUCAACAAUUGAACGAGUUACGUGAUACAAUUGAGACCAAUUUGACUAAGUUUCGAACGAAACAAAAAGUGAACAUUAAUCAGCUUGCCAAUCAACAUGCCAAUAAUAUUCAAAUGCUAACUCAAGUUGUUGCUUGUUUGAAGACUUUUUCGAACUGACGAUCUUGUGCUCGUGAUGGUGAUGAUGACGAUGGAGACAAUUAAUAGCUUCAUAUUCAUUCUAAUAAUGGUGGACGAGGAUAUCAUCCCACUAAUGAAACUUUGGGUAUUCCUGAUCGAGGCCAGCUUUUUGUAGCAAAACCAAAGUUCAACAUUCCACCAUUCUGAGGGAAGCAUGAUCCUGAAGCAUAUUGUGAGUGGGAAUAAAAAAUUAAACUUAUGUUUUGUUACUAUAAAUGCCCAGCAAAGGAAAAAGUCUCAUUGGCAACACUUGGAUUUCCAGAUUAUGUGUUGAGUUGGUGGAUUCAACUUGGAAUUAAUCGUCAAAGAAACUAUGAAAGGGUAAUUGAAACAUGGUACGAAUUGAAGCAAGUGAUGUGAAAGCGUUACGCUCUUUCUCAUUACUACAAAUAGGUUACAAUGAAAUGUCGACACCAUGUUCAAGUUAACUGAUCAGUUGAUGAGUACUUUAAGAAGAUAUGGCCAAAUGAAAAGAGGAGUACAACUGAUCUCUCAUCUAUUAUGAGACGUUAUUGGUGUAGUUCAAAAGAUCAUGAGGGUUUCUAAUGUCCAAAUAAAUAUCCAACUAGAGAAGAAAGUAAGUAUGAUUAUCUUCUAUUGUCUCUUACUCUAGUGGAAAAGUGAUUUGUGAUGACGAACUUUGUGAACCGAAAAAAGAUGAUAAUGAGAAUUGUUUUCCUUGAAUCUAUAGAGUUAAAUGAUAGACAAAUGUCGUGUUCUCUUACUGAGAUAUAUUGUAUUGAAUUUAAUAUUCAUAAUACAUGUGAGGGGAAUAUGGGAAGUGAGGAAGAAUCAUGUGAAAAGAUAGAGAGAAAAAAGAUCUUGAAUGAUAAAAGUCUAUUUGAUGGUCCAAAUUUGGUGAGAGAAAAUCCAUAUGAGGUAAAAUUGGAAAGUUCUCAAGAGGAAAAAGAAAAUAAAAGCAAGAAAAUAGCCAUACAAAGGUGAGGGGUAAUUAUGUUUUAACUAACCUUAACUCAACUUUUUUUAGCGGUGUUUCUUCAUUACAGGACUUCAAAGAUCCAUUGAUGGACUUUGAAUUAUAUUACUCUACCAUUACUUGUGGGAAAAAUGUAAGUUGAAUAUUGAUAAUUCCCCACAAGUGUUAGAAGGUAACGAAGGUAAGGAAACAAUAGGAAUUAAUUUAAGAAGGCAUACCUUAAAUGUUUUUGAUAAGUAUGCUACUAAUUUUGUUUGUAAAAUAUUUCCUUACAACAUGUUUUUUCAUUGGUCAAAUUUCAUUAAACCUUGGUAUGAAAGUUCAACUGAUUUUAUGGAUUUAUCUAAAUUUGUAAAGGUUAAAAAGAGUAAUUUUGUUGCAUUAAAUAGGUUUUUUAAAGCAUUUUAUAGAUUUUUUCUUGCAACAAAAUUUUCUAUUUUGACCUUUAAUGAUGAAUUUUUACAAAAUAAUAUUAAAAUUCUUGAUUUUUAUAAUUAUGUGAAAUUCUUGACCAAUCGUUGGAAAUUCUUAUGGAUGACCAUGCAUAUUCAAAAAAAGUUGCAUGCUAUUUUUUUCCUUGAAGGCUCAUGUACCUAACACUUCCUUGUUUAGUGUUGAAACAUUGUUUUUAGAGGAGACAUACAUGAUCGAAGUUUAUUUGAAAGAUCAAAAUAGUGUCUUUAAUCUUGAAGAUAGUCUUGGCGCACACGAAAGCUUAGGUAAGUGUUUUUUUAAUUUUAUUGUUAUUUAUUCUAAUCUUUUUUCUUGUUGUGCAACUAAAAAUUCUAGGACGAAUCUUCACGAGGAAGGGGGGAAUGAUGCAAGUCUCAAGGCCCAAUUUUAGAUCCAUGGAUGUGAUAGGCUCACACUACCUCAAGGGCCAACAGCAAUGUUAAAGGCUAAGCAAAUCAAAUCAGGAUUCGGUCAAAGACAAGAUUCAAGGACAAAUCUUUUCGAGGAAAGGGGGAAUGAUACAUGCAUGGAUGGGGUAGAAUUUAUUAAAUUCCAUUCACCGAAGCUGCCAAUUUUCAAGCUUGGGAAAUCAGCAGACUUGCGAUGGAUUUUUUAAUAGGAUCCUGACAUUUCUAGGUUGAGAUGCCUUCAUGGCGUUCAAAGAUCUAUCUCGUAGCUUCAAAACGCACUUUGAAUCACUCUAUUUUGAGUUUGGAAACUCAAGUUAUGACAAGAAUUACGAGCAGAAUUUCUGAACGGGUAGAAUUUCUAAACGGGAUUAUGACGAGAAUUACGAGUCUCGAUCUUUUAAUUCGAGUUUAAAUCAUUUUGAGUUCGAGUUUUCGGCUUAAUUUUUAUUAUAUAUGAGCUUAAUAUUGUAUUUAACAACUCUUAUUAUUUUAUUAUUCCAAAUUUUUAAUAAUUAUUAAGUAGUUUAAGUUAUUUAGGAAUUUUAUAUCAACAAGAAAGUUUGAGAAAAUUUAGUUUAAAACUACUUCUUGUUUAGAUUAAUUAGAAUUCUAGAAUACUUAAUAUUUUUAUUUAGAUUUAUUUAGGUAGCCUACAUAUAGGCCUUUACAUUGUACACAAUUCAUUAUUAUUCAACUUCUCUUUUGAGUUAAUAAAUUCUCUUUAAAUUUUUUUUUAAGAAUUUCUCUUGAAUUUCUUUUAAAAUAGUUUUAACAAUCUUUUCAGAUUGUAGGGAUCAUCUUCAAACUUUUUCUUGCUAAGUUUUCUAUCUUAGAGGGGACAUUAGAGUCGCCAGAAAUAUGUUGUAGAUUCUUCUUAUUUCUAAGACUUCUUAGAAUUUCUACAUAUCACGUUCUAUCUUUUCCAUCUAUCUUCUUUAUUUUCUUCUUUAUUAUUCCAAUAUUUGAUUUAUUGUUUUAUUUAUUUAUCUUAGUUAUCUUUUUAUUUGUUUCAUUUGACCUGGAUUUGAUUGUGUUUUAAGUUGUGUCAAAAUUUAAAUUUUUUUCUAAUCGUCUAGAGCCCUAAGUCAAAUCUGCGACUUAAACAAACUUUACGAUUCUCUUCCGCAUUUAUCUGCCCUCAUUCGUAUCAGUUACAGUAUUCUUUUAUUUCACAUAAUUAUAUAGAUUUAUUCAAUUUUUCCCUACCAUUAACAUUGUUAUUUGUUACCUAUCAUCUAAUUUUAGAUUUUGUUGUUCAUACAUAUAAUUCCAUAUACGUAAUUUUAAUCUUUCAUUUAAUUUUUCAUCUCUUCUAAUUUUUAAAUUUGUAUUAUUUAUCAAAUCACCCUAAAAUGGAUAGAAAAAUUAACAUCUAUUAACUUUAUUGAUGUGGCAUACACUUAAAUUGUUACAUUAGCAAUUAAUUAUUUUUAAAUAUAAAAAUUCAAAAAUUAUAAAAAUAAUUUUUAAUUUUUUAAUUUGUUAAAAAUAAUUAACUGCUAACGUGGAAUACAUGUAACACCCCUAACCCGUAUCUAUUAUCGGAAUAGGGUUACGGAGCAUUACCAGACAUAUUUCAUAAACAAUCAUACAUUUCACAUCCAUUUUCCAUUCCCAAAUAAAAGUCAUUCACAAUCAAUCAUACAGCCCAAAAUAAAACACGAAAAAGUAAACAGAGUAAGCUAUAAAGCUUAGUAAGCUCGUAUGUUAAAAAAGUAAAACUUACAAUUCAAAUACUUAAACAUCACAUAAUGCAAUUAAAUUUAAAUUCAAAACUUAACACGUGUUCAAUCCACAUGUUGGACAUGAAUUCCAUCUAUUUUCUCGAUUCAAUGAUUGUAUAGUUCACGUACAUACUUGUACUAACUCGUAUCAAUUUCAUAUUCCUCCAAUUCAUCGAUAUACCCGUUGAACCAUUUCGAAUAAUAUUGGACACUCGGGAAUCUUGCACCCUAAGUGCCAAUACAUACCCGAAGCUAUCUCAAUCUCAUAUCUCAUAUAAUGCUCACUCUCGAGCUAUCAACGAGUCUGCUCACACAAGCUAAUGGUCAAGACGUAACUACACGGUGCUGCUCACACAAGCUGACGAGGAUCCGCAACACAUGCCAGAUAACUUAGCCACCGUUAGAACAUAUGGACUGGCACCCAAAUCCAAUAACCCCUAAUGACAUGUCAUUUGUAUCUUAUUUAUUCCUAAGAUUCAACCGGGAUUUAACAUUGCCGAAUCUUCGUCGAACAUUUCCGUAAAAUCGUAUUCAUAAUUAAUUCAAUAAUAAAGCAUUUAAAAUACAAUUAUAUUAAUGCUUAUUAACAUACGAACUUACCUUAGAUUUAUAUGGAGAGAAACGAGUUAUCAAUCAACUAUCUUGUUUUUCCCCCGAUCUAAAUCCGAACUUCGUUUUUCUUAAUAUGCGCUUCUCCAAGAUAGCCAAAUGCUCAAGCCCUAAAAUGGUGUCUUUUGUUCUUUAAUUUCAGUGAUGGAAGAUGGAUGAAGAUGAAGAAAUGUUCAGUUUUAUUUUAUUAUCACUUAUUUACUAAUUUACUUAAUUAACCUUUUAAAUUAAUUCAAUUUACAAAAUUGUCAAGCCAUUAUCAUCCACUAACAUACUAAAGGUCUAAUUACCUCAUAAGGACCUCCACUUUAAGGUUCCAUAGCUAUUAGACACCUUUAGCUAAUAGAACUCAAAAUUUUCACUUUACGCGAUUUAGUCCUUUUUUUCGAAUUGAGCAUUCAAAUGAUAACAUUUCUAAACGAAAAUUUUUCACAAUCAUACUAUCAUGCUGUAUACAUUAAAAUAAUAAUAAAAUAAUUAUUUUGACCUAAUAUUUGUGGUCCCGAAAUCACUGUUCCGAUUUGACUAAAAACAAGCUGUUACAAUACACAUUGAUGCCAUGUCAACAAAGCUAACAAAUGUUAACUUUUUCAUUCAUUUUGGGGUGAUUUUACAAACAAUAUAAGUUUAUGAGCUAAAAAAGGCAAAAAAUUAAAUAGAAAGCUACAAUAAUUUUUUUUUAUAAAGUUGGAGGGCAAAUAAAUUAUCAUGCCUUUCAGGAUUAAAAAUAAUUAAUUAUAUUGUGUUAGUGGUUGGAUUUAUUUAUUUGGGUAUUUGUAGUUAUAUAUUUGUUUAAUGGUUGAAUUAUCCGCUUAAUUUGGUAAGCUCGACCUAAUUCAAAAUAGGUGUAAGUAAAGUAAUUUUUAAUUUGGGUUGGCUCGAAUUGAUUUGAAUUAAUAUUUUAAUGAUGAAACUAAUUUUUUUUAAGUUAAAUAUAAAAAUAUAUAAUCAUUAUUAUAUUUUUUAAUAUUUUAUUAUUUUUAGAAUAAUAAACCCUAAACCCUAAAUAAACUUAGAUUGAAUAAUUGAAUUUUUUUAAACAAUAUCUUGAUUGAUCCCAAUUUAAACUAAAUUAUUUAGUAAAGUUAUAACACAUUUUGUUUAAUAAUACUUCAUUUUAGUUUAGAAAAUAAAAAAGAAAAAAAGAAAUUUGUGACAUAACCAUUCCUUAACCCGUGAAGCGUUUGAGAUAUUCACUUUUUUCCUCUUCUUUGAGAGAAAGAGGUAUUUCAUUAGAAAAUCAAAUAGGCAAGACAAAAGACAACUCAUUAGAAAAGAGCUAAACUAAACCCAAGCCAACAGGCUCUCCCUAUACAACCAAUCUAAGGCCUUUCCUCACGAACCAGGUCAGAAACAACCAAAUGAAGCAAAGAUACUAAGAAAUGAGGAAUUGAAUUAUAAACAUGAGGACAUGCUUAGGACAAUGCUACGCAAACAAGACGAUGGACAACCUUGUUAGCACUCUUACGAAUCCAAUAGAAAAGAAAGAUGAUGAAAGUCACAACGCAACGUAAUACAAUCAUUGAUAAAAAAAAAUAAACUCAGAAAUACCAUGGUUAUAAGAGUUUAGAGCUCAUAAAGCUUCGAGACAAACAGUUUGCAAGACAACAUUGUCUAUACCUACCAAUUUAUGAAAAUAUACUACUAUAAAACAAAAUCGUUAGCACUAAUAAGAAACCAAACUAAGAGUAAAUAAAUAAAGCAAUCAUUAUGUCGUGGAAGAAUUGUUGCCUUAAAAGCAAAUUCGUCUUCAUCGGUGUAAUCUUCUAGUGGAUAUCGCCCUUCAAGGUUAACAUAGUAUCUCAAUAUUUGUACACCCAAAUAAAGAAAGUGAAACACAAUUGAUAUUAUUUUUCUCGAAAGGAAUCGAAACAAAAAAAAAACAAAAAACAAAAAACAAAAUCAAUUGGUGGGAAAUCUUAUUGGAAAAUAAACUGGAAGAAAAUCGGCGAAAUCACACUAGGUUGAAUUUCCAAAAAAGAUCGGAGGGAUCAUAGACGAUCUCGCUUAAAACCCAAUCUUCUAGACAAAAUUUUGCUCUCGUAUAAUUUCGUAGAACACCAUAAUUUAGAGAACAAAGAGAAGUUGUUUUUCUCUUGUUGUGUUAUGUGAAAAAUUACGAGAAUGACCUCCUGUUUAUACAGUUUUCUAAAUGACAAAAUAGUAAAACAGCCGUGUAAAUUUCCAAAAAUUGCAUAGGAUUUUCUGCAACAAAAAAUAUUCUGAUUUUUUUAUGCAUUACCAACACCAGUUUGAGCCAAGAAAGAGGUUCCCGUAUGAUCAUAACCUCAUCCAUUGUUGCCCGAGACACAACAGGAAGAUGGCCGAUGGCUGCGUGAAAGAAAGCGCCCUCCUCAUCCCUAAUAAUCAGCCCGUAACCUACCUACUGCCCAUCCUCACUAAAAGCAGUGUCAACAUUGCACUUGACAUGGACUACUUGUGGUCGACACCAGCUAGCAACGGGAGCACAACCGUUUGAACAACAGUAGGUUGCACCUGCUGAUAGGCUAAAGCGCAGUAGCUCAGUCUUGCCUGAAGCGAGUAGCAAAAAUCCCAUUUGAGGCCGCUGUAGCUGUGUCCAUACACCAGAGAAACCGAUUAUGAAAAUAUUAGAGAGACCAAGCAGUAACAACCACUCUACCAAGCAAAGGACUAUCAACACCAAGUAGCAACGAAGAGAAGCAGUUAGAAAAAGACACUGACGGAAAUGUAAUAGCAGAUAAAGACCAUACCUGAACCGCAAAAGAACAACCCAUAAGUACAUGGCCAAUGGGAGCCCUUUUCAAGCAAACACUUGGGCGGACAAAUGCUACUCCAAACAAAAGACAAGUUAGUACCCUCGCUUACAUAAAAAAAACUCACCUUUCGAAAAGUAUCUAGGUUUGAAGAGACGACUUAAAAGGGAGUUCGAAUUUGAAAGAAUCCACCUACCUUAUUUGCCAAGCAUGGCUAAACUGAAGUAGUAAAGAUCUUAAAAGCCUGUACUACCCACCUUUUUUGUAGUACAAAGUCUAUCCGAUGAUGCCCAAUGAAGAUUUGCCAAAUUACUAGAGUUUGAAGCCCAUCAAUUCGAGUUCAUAAGCCGUUGCAAACCCAAGUCAUGUACUGACUGGAAGGAGGAAAAUGCUCAUACAAUACAUUGGGAGCGCCUGUCCAAUUGUCUUAAGCACAACUUCCAUACCUGGUCGAGAAAGAAACCAGAUUUUCUAAUUAAAAAGUAUGCUUACAGAGCCUUUCCUAAAUAAAACUGAAGACUUCCUUUAUUUAUUUAUUUAUUACAAUUGAUAAGUGAUGGAAGAGCCAGAUAGCGACCCUACUCAAUCAAGACAUCCACCCCUAACAUCGAUUGAACCAUAGCCCUGUCCAAAAAAGAUGUAUUCGAGCUAAACAACAGUCAAAAUCUUUGAAAAUUCAUUGCCUACCCCGACGCGUCCUCAUAGGUGGCUAAGAUGUCCUUGUUGGAAAAAUAGGGUAAAGAAAACAGUUUUACAGUUAGAAAAAUUAGUUUUUACUCUUUAAACAUUAUAAUUAGAUGUUACUAAUUAAAAGUUGAAUUCCUAUUAUUAGUGUCUAUUAAGUGAUUUAAAAUAUAUAUAUAUAUAUAUUAGCAUUACUUACUAAACCCCUUGAUAAACCUUUUGAUUAAAGAAAUUACUAAAUUGCUAACUAAUUUGAUAUAUGUAAUGAACAUUUUUCAUUAGAAAUUAAUUUUCUAAUAUAAUCCUAUAUGAUAUUAAUAUGUCUACACUUUUCAUUAUAUACAUUAUUGUAUACCCCUAGACAUUUUGGCAGCACAAUCACAAAAUAAAGAAAUGAGUGGCAUUGGAUGUGGGUAAAAAUUGAACACGCUUGCCCAUCUCAGAUUUCAAUCCCACAUUACAUAUUUCAGUAAUUUUUGCCCCUGCUGUUAAAAUUGCAAACAUUAGUAAUUAAAAAAUAGAUAUAAUAAUAAAUUUAGUAAUCAACUUUUAUAUAUUAUAUUAAUUUAAUUAUAGUUUUAAAAGAUUAAUUUUUAAAUUUUAUAAGUGAUCUAAAUUUAAUCCUAAUUCUAAUAUAUAUAUAUAUAAAUACAUAAAUGUUAUUAAAAAAUAAAAUUAAUAUUAAUAUUAAUAUUAAAUAAAAUAAAAAAUCCCCCACCAUCCUCCUCCUCUUCCAACGUUUACUCUCCUUCCCUCCCUCCCUCCCUCCCUCCGCGGGUUGUUUCCUGUAAUUUUUCCUUAUUAAACACAUUAUAUUAGAUAUUAGGUUAAAAUAUGCUUGUAGUUUUUGUACUUUUUAUUAAGAAAUUAAUUUUUUUACUUUUUAAAUUUUAAAUUUCAGGUCUAAUUAUAAAUAUUAUUAAAUUUUUUUUGUUAAAUUUAAGUUAAUAACUAUUAAGUGAAUUAUUUUUUCUAUUUCAAAAUGUCACAAUAACAAAUUUAACUAAAUAAAAUUAAUAAUUGGACUUAAAUUUUAAAAUUUGAUAAAUAAAAAAAUUAAAUUCCUAGAAAUACAAGCACAAAACCUAGAUUCUGAAUUUUUGAAAACUAGAUUUGAAUCUAGGUAUUAUUGUUGAGCAUGCAGCCCUGGUUAGAUGGAUGGUAGCACGACAUUUUGGGGUCACUUAGAAUUUCUUCAUGUCUUGCACUGAAUCAAUUUUCAACGACGGGCUAGAGAUGCUCCUUAAAAGUCUGCAAAACAUCCCACUCUUUUAAUUUCAAUGGUCUUUUCCCGUGAGACGAGUGGGUAUGAGUGGGUGUAAAUAAACACAGGCAAGAGUUCCUGCUUUACUAAAGCUUCUUGUUUACAUUAGAAAGGUUUAAUCCCUAAAGGGAAAUUUACCUUUUCCUUCAAUGGAGAUUUCAUCAAUUAGAGGGCUACUUGAAUUUGUAAGACUCUUUUCAACAAAAAUUUUGAGGGACGGUGGGGACGGUCCUGGCAGAUUUUUAUUUUAUUUAAUAUUAAUAUAAUUGUUAAUACAAAAUUUAAACGUAUAUAUGUAAUUUUAUAUAUAUUUUUUUAAAAUGAGAAUAAAAUUGAGAUUAUUUAUAAAUUUUAAGCGUUAAUUUUUUAAAAUUAUAACUAUAAUGAUAUAAUAUGUAAAAGUUAAAGAAUUAAAUUUGUUAUUAUAUUAUUUUUUAACUGUCACGUUAAUUUGUCAAUUGUAAUUAAAAUGAUCGAACUAUAUAACAUAAUUAUUUAAAUUACAAAAUUUUUAUUAUAAAUGCUUAAAAUAAAUUUUUUUUAUAAUUAAGUAAUUAUAUCUAUAUAUAGUUUACCUUUUUUUCCAAGGAGAUUGUGGAGGUACAAAGAUUGAAAUUGCAGCUCACAAUAAUUGUUAUGAUUAUUAUUUUAAAAUUUCUUUUUGGCUUAUAUAAUAUAGUUAAAUUAUUACUUCAAUAUUUUUAUUUUUUUUAUCAGCUAAGUUUAUGUAUUUUUAUUAUGUAUAUGGUUACCUUUAAUCCAAAUUUUUAUUAAAAAAGUUGAAGUCAACCAAUGACACAUUAUCAUAAGGAAAGUAAACAAUACUUAUAAAUUUUUUAAAAAAAAUUCAGAAAACAAUUUUUAAAAAUAAAAAUACGAAGAAAAAACCCCUCAAAAACCAUGAAACUUGGGUGUGAUGUUUUUUUUGUUGCAAAUCAAUGCGUAUUUUAUCUCUGUAAUUUCGGUCAAACUUCCAGGAUUAUCACUUGUUUCAUCGCAUGUUUUUAGUUGGUGUACUUUUAUUUGUAAAUUCUCAAAAUCUGUAAUGCUUUUGGAAAGAUUUUGAUUAUGGUGUUACUAAUACCAUUUCAUACAUUGUGAGUAAAAUUUUUAAAUUUCACAAGUUAACAAGUCACAUGCAAUUUUUUAAAGAUUAUUACUGUUUCUAAUAUUAACUCAUAAUAUUACUUAGGAUCUGUUUGAUUGACGGAAUUGAUUUUUCGGAAAAUCAUUUCCAACUUUUCCAGCGUUUGAUUGGCAGAAAACAUUUUCCAUUUGGAAAAUGAACUCCAAAAUAAGGGAAAAUGGAUUACAUUUUAGGAAAAAUGUCUUACCCUUUCAAUUUCCGUAAGACAUUUUCCGUGCUCUUCUCUCUAUUGCCUCCUUCAUUCCUUCCUUCAUUUUCGGUAGAAAAUUGCUUCUGUUUAUCGAUAUUCCAGUUACUUAUUUUUUUAAUUAUUCAAUACUUGUUUUUUUAACAUAAUUACAAAUAAUUUAUUUGAUAUUAAUUUUUUUUUCAAUUUAUAACGAUUAAUAUUGUAGCUUAAUAAUUGAGUAUUAUUAUAAAUAAAUCAUUGCAAUAUAUGUAAAAAUAAUUUAAAAUAUAAAAAUUUAUUAAUAUAUAUUAAUAUAUGUAAAAAUAACUUUUUCAGAAAAUAUUUUCAGGGAAUCUGCCAAGCAGCAGAAAAUAUUUUACACAGAUUCAAUCAAACACCAGAAAAUAUUUUCCAGUAAAUUAUUUUACAGAAAAGUAAAAUAUUUUCCAGAAAUCAUUUUACGGAAAACAUUUUACUGGCAAUCAAACAGACCCUUAAAUUAGUAAAAAUUUUAAUUUAAAAUUAAUUAUUAUUUAAUUAAAUAAAUUAUUGAAAAAAUAUGUAGUUAAAAUCAGUGAUUUGGAAAGCGAAGGCGCAUAGCAAGGGAGUUAGAAACCAAGCUUGCAUCCGGCCGGAAAAAAGAAAGGAAUAAAGAAACUUGCAUAAUGCGACCGCCAUCUCUACACUGCAAUUUCUUCUCAUCUCUCAAACAGGUAUUCAUUAUUCAAUCCUAUAUGCCUCCAUACAAACAUGUGCAUGCCUUUUUAUAUUAUCUGAAUUCGUUUCCUCAAAUUCUUAAAGGUUGAAAAAAGAUUGAAACUAGAAGAAAACCAACCAGAUUCAGGACAACCCCAUGUCCCUACUCAAUCUUUUAGCACCCCACUUUACCUGCACUUAACCCACCCUUCCAACACUAACAUAACCAACAGCGAACCCCCUCAAGCUUUCAUGUCUUCUUCACCUCAGUCCCUUUCUACAAAUGAAACCCAUCCUCAGAUUAAUCCCCCUCAUUCCCCCGCAACAAGCAAAGACACUGAUGAUAUCGAAUAUUUGAUGCAGCUUUUGGGUUUAUCGGAUAAUCUGGGAGAAACCCAGAAAAGAGAGAAGCACAAAACUGUUGUUGGUGGAGGGAAUUCUUGUGGAUGUGAGUGUGGAUUUUAUGAGAAGAUUGUUGGUGUUAAAGGGCCAAAGUGUGACAAAGAAGUGGAAAGACUGGAAGGUUGGAUUAUAUAUUUCUCCAGGAAUGGUAGUGAGCCAUUGAGGUUGGCUUUCUUGCUUAUGGCUAAAGCUGCUUUUGAGAGUGCUGAUGAUUCUGGGUUUCAAACUCUGGAGUUUCCGUCAAUUAUAGAUGAAUUUUUAAAGAUUGACCCACCUAAAGACUGACAGUCUGAGACAUUACUAGGAUGUAAUGGUAAUAUGAAAAUACUUUUUGUUUUGGACUAGCUGAUUUAUACUUGUACAUUUUGCUUGGACUUGCUUUUAUAUUUACUUUUGAUUGGUUAAUCACCAAAACUUUAUAUGCAUGAUAUAUAUAAGUUUGUACAUUUAUUUAGAUUUGCUGAUAUAUAUACUUUUAAUUGGUUAAUUGCCAAAAACCUAAAGACAAAAACAAAGAUGCAAUCUUUUUCAUUUCUCACUUGUGAAGAGUAACUGCUAUUACAUAUAUUUAUCCUUCCAAUACAUUAGAAUCGAAUGGAGUCUGCAGUUAUGCUUCUCCAACACAGCUGGGUGCUCAAUUCUUCAUGAGAUUAUGGCCUCAUUUUCAUAGUUAUUUGCUUUUAGCUUUGAAAGGAUAGACAAAACCUCGUUCAUGUUGGGUCUUUCCUCAGGAUUAGGGGAGGUACAAAACAAGGCUAGCUUGAAAAGUUCCUCCACUGCUUCCAUUUGUUUAUUGGAAUCAUUUGAAGCUAGCAUAGGAUCCAAAACUUGGAGGACUCCUUUGGUUCCAGUAGCAAGGGAUUUCUCAACUCGUUGACGGAGACUGACUGGCUGUCCGUCCUCUUCCAUUAGUCCAGUUGGUCUUUGUUUUGUUAGGAACUCCAUGACUACUAUGCCGAAGCUGAACACAUCCACUUUAGUUGUGACAUUCCUCAUGUAUGCAAAUUCUGAAUGAGGGCAGAGUAAUGUCUCAGUAAUUCAGGUUUUGAAAUCU
rnacentral:lncRNA from 1 species